UUCUUCUUCCCUCUCUUCCUCAGCCAAAUUUGGGUCAAAGGCUAAGUCUUAGAAACAUCCAAAAUCAAGGAUUCUCCCAAAUCUCUUCAAGACUUUCCCAAAGCAUUUUGUUAAACGGAAAAGGGUUAAAGAGGCCUUAAAAAAAAGUUUACAAAAUAAAAAAUGAUUUUGGAUCAGAACUCUGAUUUUAGAGGCAAAUCAUGCUCUUUUGCAAGCUCCUUUUCAAUCAAACAAGUCAAUUCCUCAAAGAGUGAUUCAUCCUCAUUUUAAAUACAUAGUUUUCUUUUUGCCUAAUUCAAAAGUUAAUUUUUGUAGAGAUUCUCCUACCCAAACUCUACUCGCUUCAUCAAGAAAGAAGAGUCUCAAAUUUCGACUCUCCUUUUAGUGUGAGCAGAGAGGAAACCGAACAUAUGCCAAAGACAGCAGAGAAGGAUGACCAGUCGAUUAAGGAUCCUUUAGAGUCUGAUCUUAAUACCUUGUUUCUUUUAUUAAUACAUUUAAUAAAGAGGCUCGUAUCCGUUUCAAAAAAACAAAAAGAACCCUAAACAACUUAGUUUUGAGAAAUUAAAAGAACACUAGUCCAAAGUGGCAAAUCUUUGUAAGAAAACAAAGUGGCAAAUCCUCUUCAUAAAAAAGAAAACAUACUUACCAAGAAGUGACGUGACUACUUUUGAACAUCUUCCCGACUCAUAUGCUAAUGAUCCAGACUUCUAAACCCUUGAUUACAAUGUCCAAAUAACAUUGAUUCUGCUGAAUUGCAUAUUUAAUGGUUAUCUUAGAUUUAUCAUGCAUUCCUCACACAUCUUUGAGAGAGAAUCUUACUAAAGAACUCCACUCUAGUGGUCUUUCCAGUCAUUUUGGAAGGGACAAAACAAUGGAUAUUGAAACAUAAUAGGAAAUUCAUUAAGCAGCAUUAAACUUAAGGAUAAAGCAAUGGGUUUCCUUGAAAACCAGGUUUGGCUACAGUAGUACCAGAAGAAUAAGAGAGACUAGCAUAGCAUUCUCCAAGCUCUUCGUUUUCAAGUGUCCAAAUAUCUAAUUGAAUUCCUGCCUCGUCAACUUCUGGCUACAAAAAAUUGGUUCCCAUAGUAAAAUUAGCAGUCCAACCAACAAAAGCUCAAGAAGCAUCACCUUAAACUCUUCAAGUAAACAACAAUUCCAAUUUCCAGCCAAAAAGCCAGCCCAUUUUAAAAGAGCAGACGAAAAGGGUAACUAAUGAACUCAUCCUUUCUCUAGCAGUUGAAGCAUGCUUAUGGAAGGAUGUAGAUAUGCAGAUUCUUCCUUUAGACCUCAUGGUUGUGCCUUUAAGAUAAGGGACUGCAAAGAACUUUACCUUUUCGUGAAUUUUAAAUCCACAAGUUUAAUCUUAGGUCCGUUUCAAGAUUGUCAUUAUUCUUUAGUAAGAGGGUGGGUAAUUUUCCGAGUAUUUACCAAAAUCUCCCUUCAAAAUUAAGCUAUCUUGACGGGAUUAGAGGCCACAUUUUCCAAUAUUUUUAAAAACCAGCCAGUCUUCAAACUCUGUAUCCUGUAGAUUCCUUCUUGAAUCUAGAUUAAAUGUAAAUCAUUAGAAUCCCAAAAUCCUCUGCCACCAAUUUAUCUUUCAAGCGAUAGCAUAAAGGUUUAAACAAAUGAAAGAAAGAGAAGAAUUUGGCAGCCAAUGGUCUUCCCAAAUCCCAGAACCAGACUUCGGUUCCUUUCUUCUAAACUAAAGACCAACUAGGUCUUUCCCACGUUUCUGCACUUGGAGCAAACCAAGGAGCUUCGGGAAACUUCUAACAUUCCAAAUCAACUAGUCCGUCCCACAGAUGCUAGCAAUGAAAAUGACGAAACAUAUUGUUGUUACUUGAUUUUUUGCAUCUUUAAAACACUUAUCUUCUAGGCACAGUUGUUGAUUGGGGUAUUUUCACCCAAUUGGAGAUUUCUUUGUGGUAGCUGUAAAGUCCUUUGCAUGAACGUAUUUGAAACGAGAAAAGCUAAUGGUAGCUAUUUGGUGUGUGCACUGAUUUAUGUCCUGUUUGGUAACCAUUUCAUUUUUUAUUUUUGAAGAUUAAGCCUAUUUCAUCCCCCUUUCUUACAAUAAUUUGAAUCUUUCUUAAGUACUAUGGUUGAAUUCUUAGUCAAAUUCCAAAAACAAAAACAAGUUUUUAAAAAUUACUUUUUUAUUUAGUUUUCAAAAUCUAGCUUAGUUUUCUAAACUAUUAUAGAUAACAAAAGAAGAAAUUUGGAGGUGUAAGCAAUGUCUACAGACUUAAUUUAAAAAAAUAAAUGGUUACUAAAAGUAGCCUUACCUAUUUGGUUGAAUUGCACCUACCUUUUGAAUUUUGAGUUCAGUGGACACUUUUUCUAUGCAAGAAGCUAUCGGUGUAAUCAAAUUAUAGUUUCCAUAUGGAACAACCUCCUAGUGGGAAAACCCCAAGUAGGAACAAAAGUAUCAUAACAAUUUUGACUAAUCUUCUUAGUUAAUUAAUCAUCAACUGUAGUUUUGGAUACUAAUGCAUAUGUUUAUCGACCUGAGUAGAAACAGCCAAUAAACCCAUCUUAUAGCAAAUAAACCUCUACCAAAUUCUCUGUACUUCGUAAUUUCCUAAAGUAAAUAGUGAAAUAAUCUAGUCUGAUUUUGGAUACUAAGGCAUAAGGCAUAAGGCAUAAGGCAGUAUCCCUAAACAUGCACUUUCGUCAUCUAAAACUCAACGUGUUAUUGAAAGCAUUGGGUAUUUCCCACCUUUCUUCAGUAUUCAAGCUUCAAACGAAGAAAGAAAUAUAAGCCAGUGUAAGUGAAGACAUAAACGAUGAAACAGAGGAACCUAACUAAACAACAAAUGAGGAAAAAAGGUAGAGAAUUCAAAGGAUCCUAACUUACACACUGGCAUCUUCUCUUCCAAGGAGCUUGACCGGAGUUCCAGAUCGAGGUGACGUAAGGUGCGAAGAUGAAAGGUCAUCAGAACCCAAGAUUUUACCAGGCCACCAUGAACCAUUCCUCCUUCGAACCCACACGAUCGAUCCCACAGCAUAAUCAACCGCACCAGAUCCAGGACUCCCCAUUCUCUGUCCAAUUUUUUUCUCUCUUAACCUAUCUAAGCCUUUUUCUCUCUCUCACCCCCCCACUGCUGGUUCAAGUAAAUCAACACGCAAGCAACAUCAAGUCAACCUCCGGCGAAGAAGAGUGAGGUUCGGAGAAUAAUCCGACAGUGCGCAAAGAUGCAGGAUCCACAAAGAUCAAUACGGAUUGUGAUUAGGGUUUCCAUUCAAAUUUGGGGAUUUUUCAUUUCUAGGGUUCCUGAUUAGAAAAAAAAUUGAAAAAACACGCAAACUAGAAGAGAAAUUGACAUUUUUAGCCCCUUUUUAGUUUUUUUCUUUUCUUUUUAAUUCAGUUUUGGAUUCUUUUUGAAAAAAUCGUUUUGUGAACUUCUACGAAAGGUGAGAUAAGCAUUUGAAACUUUUACUCUUACCUCCUACGUAAUAAGGCGAGAGUAUAUUAAAAGAGAAUGGGUGCAAAAAUCAUCCACAUAACAAUGCUGGUGCAUAACAACUCACGCUCAAUAACCCUCGCUAUCCAAUCUACAUUGUCAACUUGAAGUUGAGAGUUACAAAAUUUUGUUUCAAUCCAAUUCAAUCCGAAUUAAUAAUAUAUAUAUAUAUAUAUAUUUAUAUUUUAUUAUUUAUUUAAUAAAAGUAUUUUGUUAAAACAAAUGUAUAGAAAUUUAAACGAUCGUAUGAAAAGUUAGUCUGUGCGAGAAGUAAACAAUUGUUUGAAGGUAGAAAGCUAAACGAUCACGUAAGAGAGUAUACGAUCGUUUAGAAAGUUAAAUAAUCGUGUAGGAGGUUGUAGGGUAAACAAUCGUGAUAACAUUUAUUAGGAGAUUACGCAUAGUCUAUAGAGUAAAUAGUUUAUUUGGAUAUAUUUUAUAAAUAUUUUCAACAUUUUCAAAUGAUACUGAGAAUUUAAUGAAAAUUUUAUAUUAAAAAUGUGAAUCAGAGAUUAAAUUAAAGCAAAAUAUAAAUAUAAAUUUCGAUAAUGAGUUUGUAACAUUUUGAAAUUUAUGGACUAAUAACUUAAUGAAUAAAUGUAUAUCAUCGAUAAAAAAGAUACAACAUUCCUCUCGAAUUAACAGAGCGAUCGAGAAUUUACAACGUUAACAACGUAGUAAUUAAGACAAAUGAUGGUAAGAAAAAUAAGAUUAUUUAAUUAAAUAAAUUUAUGAAAUUUGUGUAUUGAAUCUACAUUAUAUAUUUUAGAAGAAAAAAUAAAUCAUAACACCAUUAUCAUAAUUCUUCCCCCAAACACAUUUCAUAACACUACCUACGUAACAUUUCUCAUAAACAGAUCUUAUCACAACAGUAUCAUAACACUAGCUACAUAACUUUUUUCCCAAACACAUAGUAUCAUAACAUUACCUACCAUAAUCCUUCUCCCAAACAUUGAUGAAAAUUAUAUAUAUAUAAUUAUUAUGAAAAAGGAGAAAGUACUUAUAUCCGAAGAAAAUAAUUAUUAAGGAAAAGUUAACGUUAUUUUGGGAAAAGAGAAGAAACUGGGGUGAUGUGAGAAUUAACGGAAGGAGAAAAUAAUUUAUUAUUUUGAAAAGGAAAAGGAAAAAGGAAGAUAAUGAUAUUGAUAAUAAUAAUAUAAUAUAUUAUUAUUAUGUUAAUUUCAAUGGAUGCAGUUGAUUGCAAAUGAAAAUGACAACCUUUAUGAAGUGGUCAAAGAAAGUAUCCUUGCGUCAAGCUAAUGAGAUUCAUGUUUCACCUAUUCCUGCAAAAAGGACCAAAAAAGAUCAUUUGGACAUUGCAAUGAGCAAUCAUGAUGCAGAGAGUCAUGAUGCGAAUGAUCUAUGGAGAUUAGGAACGAUGCGGUCAGAAAAACUAUGUAGAGCAUAAGCGAUGAUACCACAAUUCGUCCUCGCCAAAGAACUUGAACGCAUGGAUAGAUUUGUAAUAUAUAAUUCUUCCAAUUUUCUUUUGUACUAAGAUAUGCAUCCUUAUAUUGGUGUACAUAUUUACUUAUAUCCCUAUACCUCUGUAAGUAUUCUUAUACUUGUACAUCAAUUUUGUAUUCUGUUUUUGUAUAUCCUUUAAUCUUAUAAUGGGGAUCAUGUGGUAUACCACAAAGUUAUAAACCGACAAGGUAAGGUAAAGACAAAGAGACUAACCUAUGAGAAGGUGUGAGUCAGACUCAUUAGGUAUUCUGACCCUCUUGUACGAUUUGGCUGGGUUAGGUUUCAUUACAAAGAAUAGGAUUCUUAGGAAGUACUAAUCAUCCAAUCAAGCCUUAAAGUUCUUUAACUUCCAAGAAAUAAUGAGUACGUCGUACCUCGGGCCACGAGUAGUCUGUCAAGUUUAUCAAGUCACAUUUAAUUUGACAAGACUCUAAUAGUGAAAUAACCAAACCUUUAACCCUAGUUAAGAUUGCCAAUUUAAACAGCCCCAAAAACUUCAAAUCCUAACCUCAAGAUAAGCAAAACUUCGCCCUCAACUUAUUCUCUUUCUCCUUUCACAACUCUUUAGGUUGCAUUUCUCUUUUUCCCAAUACCACUAUUUUUCGAGUGUGCUUCUCUGUUUUUUUAGUUCCUCAUACCCACCAAGUACAAUAAUGAAACAAGUCUGACGUGGUGAGUAUGUGGGAAGAAGGAAAAAGAAAAAUACAACCUAGAAUAAUUAUGACAAUUAGAGAUAAGGAAGCCCACAUCAUAGGAACUCAGGUAGCACUACAUUAUUUACCUUCAAGCUUCUUGUCUCUUCAAUCAACAUCCUUCUUUAAGUUGUAUUUUUCUUCCUCCCUUCUUCCUAUUGUCCACUCUGUACAAGAGUGAAACAUAUUAGUGGAACUACACGGAAGAAGAAGAAAGGAAAAUACAACUUAAGAAAGAUGAUGGUCUAUAGCAAGAGAAUGUCAAUGUCAAGAAUAUAAAAAUGACAGCCGUGAAAAGAGGUCACCCACAAAUGAUCGCAUUGAUGAGGUGGCAACAAUUGUUAGUAUGCACCGCCACCGCAAGCUCAAUUGGGACCUCUUUAGAAUUUUAUGACAUUCCUUCAUAUUUUAAUUAAACUUUAUGUAAUUUUUAUUUAUGUUUACGUAUGUUCAUUACAAUAUAUGUCACAACUUAUGAUAUAAUUCUUAUGCGUUUAAUCUUUUUUGUCACAAGUUUGGCUCCCCGCUUUUUAGUAUUCUAAUUUUUCUUCGCGAUUCAAUAACACUUCAAUAAAAUAAAUUAUGUGACAUAAAGUUUCAUUUGUUAUCUAGGCGUUUAACUUGUUAAGGAACCUUACUUAGAAAAUAUUUCUCUAGUUUAUUAGGCGAGCAAGUUUUACCUCAAACCUCUUUUGUAGAUUUUUCUGCGAAUAAUCUUAUCAUUCACUUUAGCAAUGAGGACAUUGCAGCCUCUAAAUUUAGGGGUGUGCGAGAUCCGCAUAAAAACUUUUGAAACCUUUUUAGAAAUCCUCUUAAGGCGUUUUAAUAAAAGUUAAAACUAAGCCAACAAGUGAAAAUUUUAAAAUUAUGUAUUCCUUUAUUCAAGUAAAAUAGCAACUCCUAUGUUGCCUCUCUCGCAAAAAUAAGAAGCAUACCUUCAAAAGUAAAAAUCAGAGAGUUGAGUAAUAAGAGGUGAUGCAAGUUACACUUGAGGAGAGAAAUUGACUCAUAGAGUACCUAUGGCUUUCCACUGAACGCCAAAUCCAAUGUAAAUGUAAUAAAAGCAUUCUUGUCCUCUAGUGAGCCUUUCUCAUGUGAUGAUGUGGUUCCUCAUCUGGAGAUGUUAAUCGCCCAAUGAGUUCCCAUCACGCCUUUGCGCAAGAUGUCUCCUGCGAUUCACUAGUUUAUUUCUUUGUUCAUUAUCCUGCAUUUAGACAUGUCAACCGCGUAAAACAGACAUGAUACUUAUGUAAGAUGUAUUUUUAAAUACUUAUGUAAGAUGUAUUUUUAAAUACUUAUGUAUUUACAACAUAAGUUACAUGUUUUGAUCAUCUUCUUAUGCGUUUGACCUCAUUAUUCUAAUAAAAGAGAUUAUAAUAACUCAUAUUUAUAUACACGUUAUCAAAGGUUCACUAUAAAACAAGAAUGGUAGUUGGAGAAUGUGAUGUGUUGCAGGCCACUUUUUAUGUGUCAAAGUGAUGUUCUUUCUCUUCUUUUACCUUGGCCUAAACUCUCCUCUCUGUUGGAUUUUGUCUGGCUAAAAGAGUUUCAUUAUCUUCAUCCUUUUCAUUUUCAACUCCUUCAUUCAAGACUUCCCCUUGGUGACGAUUCCUUAAUGCUACAUUCAUCCUAUCUAAUCGAUCUGUCAAGUCAUUAAUUACUUGAGUUAAACGAACAAUUGCUCCUCCUUGUGCUUCGAUCCUCCUAGCUUCACUAAUCUCCCCAUCAUUUUUUGCUUUUUGAUUCAUAUUGAAUAGAUUAAAAGGGGCCUCACACACUCAACUCACUAAUUGUUUACUCGGAACACUCGUGUUUACACACAAAAGGUAGGCUAUUUGGAAAAGUAGCUAAAUUUUGAUAUUGGAUAGGCCUUUGCAAUCCUUGAAAUAGUGAGCUAUUCAAUAUAAGCAAGACAAGAUAAUUAUGAAGUUAACCCCAAAAAGAACAUAAAAAAUGAAAGGUUCAAACAAAUAAGGAAGCUUAAAAUUUUCGGAUGAAACUAAACACAUAAAUUGAUUUGCAAAUAGAAAAAUUUUAAGAAAUGAAUUUGACAAACUAUACUUCUUGGAAGUUGAAGAUAAUAGGUGGAUCUAAUAGUUUGUUGAAGGGCACAAGGUGAAAUUCAAUAGUUUACAAGGAGAAAGAAAAUGAGAGAAGUUUGAAAGUCACAUAGAAUGGAAGAAAACAUGCAAAAAGUUAAUGUAAUAACUCAAUUGCGUAGAAUUUGAUUACAAAUAAAGAUUAAUCACAAUUUUUUUUUUAAUAAUUGCAAGAACAAAUUUUCUUUUCAAUAUGUAAGACAUAAAAAGAUUAAAGUAAGAUAAAAAUAUUAAGAACGAUAGAUGAAUGACAAUAAUUGAUAAGAUGAAACUAAAAACAAGAAUCAAAAGUUUGUAAGAAAGAAAGAUAGAAUCAAUCUUAGAGUAGGCCACAAAGAUGCAACAUAGGCUAUGAUACCAAAUGAUAAGACAAUUCUAAUCCUCAAUCCAAAUAUCCAAGUUAUUAACGUAGCAAGAACCUUUGAAAUAAGAAACUAACACCUUCUUAUACUAAUUUAGAUCAACCAAUAAAAAGUUACGAUUAGAUUACCUCUUAGAUCGAAGAUCUAGAAGCAGUAUUUGAAAAUCUUGUUCUAAAUUGAGUCAUUCCACAAUCAAACUUGAUCAGUGUUAGAUUGAAUGGCUCGCAUGCAUUCUAUCACAUGAAUUACAAAUUGAAGGAAAACUCUAAAAAAAACUGAGAUUUCAAAUUGUAUUCAUCAAAAGUAGAUAAAGACAUUAUAUAGACUUGUAGAUGUUCUAUCCUAAUUAAUGAAAAUACCAAAAGUCUUUAAAACGUUAAUAUUAAUAGCUUAGUAUAGCAUAGUAAUGGUACUUACCCUAGCUUGUUAAAUUAAAACAAGUGAAAAUGCAAUAAAAAUGGUCAUAAAUUGUUAAAUUAAAACAAAUGAAAAUACAAUAAAGAUGGUAUUCAAAUUGUUGGCUUCAAGGAAGCUUCCUGUCUACCCCAUAGUCCACUUCAAUCGAAAAAACAUUGACCUUCAAUCGAAAAAACAUUGACCUUCAAUCGAAAAAACAUUUGACCUUCAAAUCUUCAAAUGGUCCUUCGUCUUUUCUAUUAGUAUGUAGCACAUGAAAUUUGAACUGACUCUAUCCAUACACAUGAAGAACGUUAAAUAUUUGAUGCUUUAGAUCUUACAAUUGGUCCUUCCUAAACUUCUUAUACAUGAAGAGUGAAUGCUUUAGAUCUUGUAAUUGGUCAUUCUUAAACUUUUUAUAUCUUGUAAUUGGUCCUUCUUAAACUUUUUAUACAUGAAAAAUAAAUGAUGAUUUUUGGGUUAUUCAUCUAAUGGACUAGAAAAAAUUGUAUUCCUCCAACAUAUUCGUCAAAUUUCUGUCCUCAUCUGAAAAGCUAAUAAUUAAGAUUUUUCUUUUAAAAAAAUCUUAUGAAAUGAUUAAAAAAUAUAUAAUCAAAACAUGUCAUAAAGUUCUUGUCAAUCUUCCAUUAUUUUCACCAAAAAGGUUGGCACACUCUUCUGAUGUAUGUAAUUUAACAUUUUCUCCUUCUGUGAGAAUCGAAAGUAAAGAAGCAAAAAAUGAGCAAACUCCAUGGAGAGAAUAUUGAAUUAGUUUGCAAAGGUAGGCUACAUCUUAUCAUAUUUAGUCCUAAAUCAAAAGGUUCACCAACGAUUCUCAAACAAAAGACCCUGCCUGCAUAAUCCAAUAUCAACUUUGCCAACGAAGGCUACAAAAGACCCUGCCUGCAUAAUCCAAUAUUUAGUCCUAAAUCAAAAGGUUCACCAACGAUUCUCAAACAAAAGACCCUGCCUGCAUAAUCCAAUAUCAACUUUGCCAACGAAGGCUACAAGAAACCACAAAAAUUGAGUGACGAGCCAUCCCUGCUCCAACCAACCAAGCAGGACAGUAUGGAAAGAUGAGAAUUGAAAUAGUUCUGUCACAGAGUUGCUCAAGAACAAUUGAACAAACCAAGCAUUCAAUUCAAAUUAGAUUAACUAUCAACUGUAAACAAUCUUUAGUGAUAAUACAAAAACUUCUCUACGUCAUACUUUAUGCUGUUCUGAAUAUUGCACAUCUUAACAAACUUAAUAUACAAUUCAAUAGGCUGCAGAGAAUAACUUUCAAGCCUUGUCCCGGUAAAUUAAAUGCUUGGGGAAACCUGCAAUCCACUCGUUCAUUAGCUUUAUAUCCAUAUUUGUGUUGGUUUUCUUAAAAACAAAAAAUGAAGAAGGCUGGAAAACUCAUAAAGACUACCUCAAAUAUCUUUUUUGCAAUUUCAGGAUAACAUCUUGUGCUGUCAACUGGUUCUCCACAUUUACGAAGGGCACCAUCACCUCCAAAGAGGUAGGACCAUUUUAAAGUUUGAACAUUUUAUUCAAAUUUGUUCUCCACAUUGACCAAGAGGCUACGAAACCUGCCAAGAAAGGUGAUCAAAGUCAAACAUCAGUAAUUAGAUUUAAACAAAUUGCAAAGCAAGAAGCAUUAAACGACAAGCAUAACUAAAAUCACACGAUUAGGAAAAUGACCAAACCCCUGCUGAAUAAGAAAAAAAAGAGCCUCAAGGACAUCUUGGUAAUAAAAUAAGGAAACAACAAAUAUAUUAGAUAUGAACAAUGAAACAAGUCUAGGGCAAACCACAUCACUGCUCAUAAACCUGAACACAGAGCCAAAAGCACGUCUAGCAAAACAGAACUCAAAACUAAGUGCUUACUCGAAGAAUUAGAAAAUUAGACUUAGAGAAGUAGGGCGGGUUCUAAGCAGAGGUAUCAUUUUCAGUAGCCCAUUACAUGUCAAUACAUCAGUUGUGAGAGGAUUAAGAUUAUUGCAAGUAAUCUCAAAAUGCUUUAGCAGUGUAAAAGCAUAUCAAAUAACGUGAAGAAAGUAUAUCAAGAAAGGAUACUAAGGAAGCCUUUAGAGCUACAAUAGUAAAUGUUGAGAUGAUACAGGGUACGUAAAGUCUAAUUAUAAAUGUAAAGUUCAUGAUCAUCCUGCUCCAUCCCAGCUGUUAUAGUCAAUCUAGUGUCAGCUACAUAUUGGCAUUAAACAAGAUUAGAAAUAUAAGCGUUCCUACAAACAGGUGGGGCAUACAAAGGUCCAUCACUUCAAGUACCCGCAGGUCAAGUCCAUUAUAUGAUAUCAGUCCGUAGGCAAAACAAAAAAGAAAAAAGAAAAAAGAAAAAAAGAGGAAAUUAUUCAAAAGAACAGCAUAGUGAUAAGCCCCAGUUUUCCCAUCCUUUUUCUUAUGUAAAUCUAGCUCAUAUCCAUGCCAUCUCCAACUUGACUGCAAAUUGGGACGGCAGCAGAGAAAGAUCUCUCAAAAGGUGAAGGAUGAAACUGGGCAUCCCGCCUACGCUUAAAAGCAAAGUCAUCAACGGAGGAAUUGUCAGCAUCAAGCUUCCUGCGAAUGCCUCUGAUUGCAUGUUCUUCUGUCAGUGAAAGGGGGAAUAUUUGCCCACUUGCACGGCAAAGUGAGCUAUGGUUAUCAUACAGAAUUCGUUGGUCACAGUUUUUGUCACAAAUGUGAGUCAUUCCUGUAAAUUUGCAGCGGUACAUAUUACCACACACAUGUUCAUUCUCACAUUUCCAAUCACAUUUGUGGGCAAGAACUUGCCCAUCUCUACCCAGAAUAGUUGAAAGAUAAAUAACAUUUGCAGGCUCUGAGACCAUGGAUUUGCCGUUUAACUCCAUUGAAAUGAUGCUGUCAAAAGGAAAGUCUUGCCUCAAAAUUUCUGCAGAUCCCAACACAAAAUGGAAAACUGUCAAAUUUUGGACUAUGAGAGAAGGGAACCCCCAGUUUUUUUUUUUUUUUUUUUUUUUUGUCAAACUAUAGUCUUCCCCAUCACGUCCUUAAUCAAUUUUCCUGGAUUUGGACUCUAAAUUUGACUGAAAUUAAAAGAGGGGAAAACUGCAGAACAUAGGUACAUCAACGAAUUGGUAAUCAUUCAAGAAAUUAAAAAAAAAAAAGCCUCAACACUAUUCAGUUCUCCAGAUCUUAAAACAGUAGAAUGGUAUAUCAUGAGACACGAAGAGAAAUGAGAAGAAGUAAAAGUGCCAGAUAGUUAUAAAGCGGGCGAGCAAAAUAAUUAAACAUAUUGUAAAGACUAUGGUGAUUUCAGACCAGAUCUAAGAAACCCAUGUGCGGAUUAGGAAAAAAGAACAAAUACUUAGUAACGCAAAGACGCUUAAAAGAUUUCUUAGAGGAAAAAAUAAAAUAAAAUUGUGAAUGUUUAGAUAAAGAUCUCAAAGGGGAAAAGCAUAGGAGGUGCUCGGAAAUGAUUAAAAAACGAAAAGAGGAAGAGAAGCAACUCACUUGAUCUGAGAGGCCACACGGCACCACCCAGAGUAUCGGAACAAAAGGAAGAAGAAGAAAACGACAAAACGCGGGGGCGCUGUCUCCCUCUGAAUCAACUCCCGCACUCCCUCGUCUCCGUUUCCCUUUGAUUUUGGAUAAUCUAGCAACAACCACGAUAAAAACAAAAACAAAAACAAAAAUAAAGAGAGAACAGAAAAAGUAUUAGAACGAAAGAAACGAGAAAUGGGGUAAAGCUUAUUUAUAGAGAGGAAAGAGGAGACUUUGUAGUCCGUGAUGAUGGGGUUGACGAUGUUAGUCGUUGGAGUAGAGAAGAGACUCACACUUUUUAUUUUUUUAAACAAUUUGUUUCCCAGAUCAUCCUUAACAUAUAUUUAUAAUAUUUCAACACUAUCCACCAAUUCAUCUAUCUCUUAUAUUUCUUCAUAAAACACUCAAAUUCUCAACUCAAAUCAAAUAUACUUAUAUAUUAAAUCACAAAACUUCUAAAAAAUAAUUAUAGUUUAUAUAGUCUAAACUAAUCCAUCUUUAUAAAUAUUUUAAUUCAUUUUAAUAUAUUUUAAAUGAGUUUUAGAUCUUAGUCAUUUUUUUUUAAUUUAAAACCAACUAGAAUCAUUAUACCUUUUAUUUUUACGAUUAUUAGAUGUUAUAUUAAAUGGUUGAUUUUAGAUGCUAUCAAGCCCCUCUAUAGUUGUUUUUCCACUCUCAUUUUUAUUUGUUGAACUUUCCUUCACAUUUUCAAGCCGAAAGAAGAGCGUUAGAUAUUAUAUUAAAUUUAUUUUCUUCCCUUAACUUAAAAUUUUAUGUUGAAUGUAUUAUUUGAGAUUGACUUAAUCUCAUUAAUGUUUCAACAUGUAUAUCACCGAUGUAUCAUAUUAGAGCUUACAAUGGUUCAAUCCAUCAUAUUAACAAUCAUUUUGAGUGAAUUGAAUGAAUUAAUCAUACAUCAAUCCUACGUUUGAAAUUAAAUUUUUCAAUGAGUUGUUAUAGGAAAAAUUACAUUAGAUAACAGAAAAAAUUAAAAGAAAACAGCUCAUAACAUCUCUUUCUGCAUAUUGCAAAUUUGACAAAUGUAACGAUAAUUAGACGGUAAUUUACUUUUAAAUUACAUGUUUUUGCAAUUUUGAAGAUACAAGUGACAUGAACUCUAUUAUCAUAAUUUUUUUUAGCAAUGUGUACUUCGAAAAAAAAAAAUGUAAAUUUAAGAACUAUUGCUAUACUAGUGAUAUAAAUUAUUUUUCAAAAUAACGUAGCAACACAACAUUGUAAUACUAAUACACCAACAUUAUAUUUGAAAUGAUUGGUGUUCGGUAUUUGUUAGUGAUAGUUUGAGGAUUAUCUCAUUAUGUCGGUGAACUUCAGCUUCAACUUUAUGCUACCAACUCGAACAAUGACUUCGUCUUUUGAUGGCUCGACACCUAAAACUGUCGCUUUUUUUCCGAAGGAAGAAACAUAUACAGUAUCGCCAACAGUGGGAAACAAAGGCUCCUCUGUAGUGUACAAAACUCACAAAAUUGAGGUAACAAAAAUUCUUUUAAUCACAUAAAAACGGACAACAUAAUUAUAAAAGACGGAGCUUCUAUUAAGAAGAAAAUUUGCAAUUCUUCGAAACACAUACAAUUAAACAGGAGAUUUGUCAAUGGCAAACCUGAUUGUGGUUGACUGAUAUCACUGGUUGAAGAUAUUUGCCUACGCAAUGCCAUCAAAUCCUUUUUGCCUGCUGUAGUUCGGUUAUUAGAGUUUAUUCCUGCACGUUGCAUCCUAUCAAUGGCAGAGGGCGAGGUGUACUCAAUUGUAGAUGCACGUAGUUCUCGUCCUUUUUGGUGAAGGUUAGAACGAGCGGUUGUAGCAGCGUUCGCUACCUCUUGCACUUUUCUAAGCCUCUGUCGUCUGCCAUGUUCAAUAAUGUUUCUUCUAGCAAGCAACAAUUUUUCAUAAAGAUUUUUUGACUCCCUGUGGUUACAAGAAUAUGGAUGGUUAAAAAUUCACGAUUCUACUAGUCAAGAACAUUAUCUAUUGAAAAUGACAAAAGAAAAAAAAGGACUAAAGCUAGCAUUUUGAGCAAGAACUAGUGUUUUUAAAUGCCCAAGGCACAACAAGGCACAAUGGCCUUCUAGAGCCUACACGCAAGGCGCACAAAAAGGUGAAAGCUUUUUUCUCUGAGGCGUACUACAUAUCAAAAUAUUACGUUAAAAGGAGAAAGCAUGGUGAAAGUGGAAAUAUGAAAAAAAAGACCUCAAACACAAGAAAUUUUGCAUUUAGGAUUCCUUAGUUAAUAAAGGAAAACCUUCAUUAUUACUAUUUCUUUAAAAAAUGAAAAAGCCGAGCUUUGAGCCUUGGGGCUUCACAAAAGGCAAGCGCCUAAUGCACGCCUUAUUUUGUGAGCCUGGUCUUUCCAAGGUGAGGCACUAGACCUGUGCCUUGAGCCUAAACGUGCACCUGAGAGGGCUUUUUAAAACACUAGGAAAGACCCCUAUUCAUUACUUAAAAGUAAAAUUGUUAUGUAUAGGCAAGAAACAAACCUGUAAAAUUGUUAGGUAUAGGCAAUAAACAAACCUGUAUCUUGCUAGUUUUUCUAGAGACUGACUAUUAUUACAUAUGUACAUACGGCAUUAAAGAAAACUUUGUUCAACCACCUAUCUGGAUAUGGAUAUAACAUAAAAAAGCACUAACGCCUUGUCCAAAGAUCUUCUCCUCCACAUUGCCAGGGGUCGGAAUUACAUUUUUCCUGUUCUUUUAAUUUCUUUUUUAAAUUGCUUCAAGCUGAUAAUAAUAGCUAUGAUUUUAAAAAAAAUGAGAUCCCAGUUUCAGCAACUAUACGAAUUAACAAUGAUCAGAACUUGAUAAACACAGAAGAAUUUGAAUCAGACCUAUGGCUACGAUAUUAUUAAAGGAUUUAGGUUGGGCAGACACUGUAUCCAUAAAAUUAAUCUUACUAAGAGACUUACGUCAAGUUAUUCUGAGCUUCUUGUAAGAGGUCUCCAUAUUUUUUCUUUAUACAUUCCAUAUCGGUUAUGACCUGCAUUAAAAUGUAACAUAAAAUUGUAAAUAAUGUAGUCUAACAUAUCUUGAGAAGCAAUAUACUAAGUGCAUAAAGAAUUAAUAUUCCAUAUCUGCUACUGCAACUGCCAACUGGAGACGCGAGGACUACCUUUCAGUUUUUUUAAAAAAAUUAAAGAAAGAAUACAGACUGAACAAAAAUAAGAAUAUUAUUGGAUAGUGGUAAACUAUAACAAAAUAAUUGAUAAUGAUAGUAUCUCAUAAACUUUUCUUUUUAUGAUGCUUCACAAAUAAAAGACAUACAUAAAAAGUAAAGCACAAAUUUGCAAUAAUUGUGCAUUCUACCUCAUCAAUCUGUGCACUUCCCGCACCAUAAAGUUCCCGAGCAUCAUCUACAACAGAACUAGGCAACCCUAACCUUUCGGCUAUAUUUAUAGCAUUUGAACGCCCUACAAACAUGACAAAAUAAAUUUGACCUCACCCAGAGCAUGUAUUUCACAAAGAGAGAAAUGUGUUCUUAAAUAGAAGAACAACCCAUUACAAAGAAGGAAAAAGUAAAUUUGGUAAAUAUAGUACAACCAAUACAAUAAAACAUAAUACAAAAAAGGAAAUAAUCAACAAAACAUAAUUUCGCGUCAUUUAGGUUUGCUGCGCUAGAAGAGAAAAGAGUGAUGACACAGGUGUGAAGAAAGUGAUAUUUUGAUUCAACUAAACGUGCCUUUAACUUACAAAAUGUAACAAUAGAAUUUCGAUGGUUAAGAAACCAUAACAUUAUUUAGUUGUCAUACCUUCUAAAAACUCCCAAAAAAACUCAAUGGACACAAUUGGUUAUAAAAAAAAAUGUUACAAAUCAAUUUAAUUCUAAAACCGUCAAAAUCUAAUUAAUAAUAUGAAACCUUUCAUAUUCUCAACAUCCCCUCAAACUUAAUUUGCUACGCCUAGAAACACACCAGCUUGCAGGCUUUUGUGAAAAUGUCCACCGCUUGGUCUCACAACUAGAAAUAUUUGAGUUCCACUUCUUUCUUUGUAACACAAUCCCGAAGGAAAUGAAAUCAGGUAUCAAUGUGUUUGUUCCUCCCAUGAAAUACUAGAUUUUUGGCUAAUGCAAUGGCUGAUUUAUUGUCAACAAAAAUCUUCAUUGGAUCCUCCAUUUGAAACUUCAACUCCUUCGUUAGGUUUUUUAGCCAAAUUGCAUGGCAUAUGCAUUAAGUUGUCGCAACAUACUCCGCCUCACAUGUUGAUAAUGUGACUAUCGGUUGUUUUUUUGACAUCCACGUGAACACUGUUUCACCAAUAAAAAAUAAAAACCCCAUAGUGUUCUUUCAAUCAUCCAGGUCACUACUCCUAUCACUAUCACAGUAACCAACAAUAUCAAAAUUGCUAGAAGAGACAUAGGAAAGACCAUUCUCUAUUGUCCCUUUGAUGUAACAAAGUAUACUCUUUGCCAUUUUGCAAUACAUUGUUGUCAGCGCCUCCAUUAAUCGACUAAUAAUUCCAACUAAAUAAAGAAGACUCGUCUUGUGUAUAUCAAGUAUCUCAAACUUCCAAUCAAGCUUUUGAAAUAUGUAGAACCUACCUUCUCUCCUCCAAUCUGUUUGGUAAUUUUGACUCCACAUUCCAUUGGUGUUCCAACGGGAUUAGCAUCAUCCAUACUAAACCUUUUAAGCAUUUCUCUAGCAUAGCCCUCUUGAGAUAUAAAAAUCCCAUCUUCACUUGUCAAGAUAAUAACUCAUGACACCCAAUGUCUGUCAUUUCAAACUCCUUCGUCAUCUCCUUUUUAAAUUCAUAAAAAAUGCAAGGAUCGUCAACACACAAACAAAUUAUUAGUAUGUUUUCAACUUGCAUUUUGAUACAUAGGGCAUGCUCAUAAGGACACUUCACAUACUUCCUCUCCCUAAAAUACUUGUCAAUCCUUGAAUUCCAUGAUCUCGGUGCUUGCUUCAAACUUUAAAGAUCCUUCUUCAAUUGAAGCACUUUAUCCUCUUCACCCAUGGCUUCAAAUCCUAAUGGUUGUUCCACAUAGACCCUCAAGAAUUACAUUCAAGAAUGUCGAUUUGACAUCCACUUUGAUAAUUUUAUAUAAUAUAUUCAAUAAACCAAAAGUAAUUCAGAGUACAUAUGACCUUUUACAUAAAAAAUAAAUAGACCUGAAGAAACCACAAAAGGAAAAUACAAAUAUAGAAAAUAUUAAAAGAAGUAAAAGAACAAGUAAAAGAACCCUAACCCUCUGCCCUUGCCCUUCCUCUCUUUCAAGGAAUGUUGCAGCCCUAUUUAUUCACCAAAUUCUUCAUGCCCUUCUUCCUUCCCCAACUUCCUAUUUAUAACCAACUAUCUAACAAUAAAUCUAAUUACCUUUAUACCCCUACUCUAUAUUAAUCUAGGUAUCUAACAGAGUUCUAAUUCUAAGCAUUGAAUAUUUGAAUUUUUGGCCAACUCUCGUUUAUUCUUGGAAUUCAUUGCAAUGUUUCUUCGUAUUUCAUUAUCUCAAGGGCACAAGUUAAAUCAUGCUUGCUGUGAUUUAUAGGUUAUUUAAAAUAGCUCUUUUAAAGCAUGAUUAACUAAUUUCAAGAACCGACUAAUUAAUAAGUAGGGCUAUCUGGUUAUUUGAUCAACUUAACUAGAUACCUUGCUUAAUACAGUUGCUUGAUUAAUAUGGACGCUUUCUGUACCUAAUUAGUUACGCAUCUAGGAUGGCUAAGAAAUUAACCAUAACAUUAGGACAUGUACCUUGAGACGACUUAGGUUCGUGAGCUGAGAGUUAAAAUUGGCAAAAAUUGCAUAUCUUGAGAAGUUUGUAACAACCAAAGGAAUGAAUGGAUUCCGAAUCCCUGGUCCAGAUCUUUAUGGUUUGAAUUAUCUCAUUUGCAUUCCCACUUUACAUAAAAGCCUUUACAUGUAAUUGCAAACAAAGCACACAAAGUCUUUACCUUUGUCUUGCUAAUCUAUCUCUAAUUUUGCAAAAGUGCUAAGAUGCCAAACUUGUUUUAAAUUGGUAAAAAUAUCACUUCAUAAUCAAGGAGGGCAUUGUGCUAGAGCAGAGUGUUUCUUCAUAGGACCUCCUUUCAACAAUUCGACAUUGACAUCCUAAACGUACCAAACGUAAUUAACUUAACAAAUUAAUUACUUUAAAUUUUUAUAAUUUUAAGAAUUCAUUCGUAUUUUAAAAUAAUUUGUUUAAAAUAUAUUAGGAAGUGGUUUAUCAGAUCAAACAUUAUUAAUAGAUUUAGUUUACCAAUAUAAAAAGAAUUCUAGGAAUUCCUGGGGAAUCCUUUAUUGGAAUUUUAUAAAAUCAGUUCACUUCUAUUGAAUAAGAUUCUCUCGUGGAUAUUAAGAGGCCUGAAAGAUUUAUCCUCAAUGGAGUUCCUUUUUGUGCUUCAACAUUGUUUUGGCUCAUCCAGAUUAUCUCUGGUUGGGGCAUCUUCUCCAAGUGUUUCACAGCUACUUUCGUGAUCCUAGACUUUUGGAGCACUUUUGUUUUUUCCAGCAUAUCACUUGUAUUGGAUUAUCUUUGUUUGGAGUUUUUCAGCUUCUCUGGUUUGAAUUUUGUUGUGUGUGUAAUCUGUUACUCACUUAUACAGGUUGUUGGGAGACUUGGUCUUAUGUAGGGUAUGUUUAAUUCUUCAGUUUUAGUAGUUCGGAUAUAACGUGGGCACUAAAGGGGUGUCAACCUAGUUGAGAUGCCCAGGUGCGCCUCCUUUAUCCCUUUGUAAUUUUAGCUCUUUGUAUAAUUCUCUUGUAUUUUGACCAUUAGUCUCAUUUCAUUUUACUAAUGAAGAGGCUUGUUCCAUUUCAAAAAAGAAAAAAUAUUGGAUUUUAUAAAGAAAAUAAAUAAAAUUUGAGAUCAAGUUUCACAGAAUUAUUUCCAUGUCUAAACAGUCAUAUUUCUAGGCAUCACAUUCUCAUAUUUGCAUACUAAGUGCCUAAUGGUAUUACGGAAUUAAAUGAAAACAAUGUUUCUCUUAUCCAAAAUGGAAGAAUAUAAGUUUUAAAAAAUGAGAGGGGGGGAAUGUAUAAAAUGUGAGAGGAUUAAAUGGUGAAUCAUAUUUCAAUAGUGAGAACCUGGUAUUCCCCAGAGAAUCUUGUAAGUUGGCUUUAGGUUCACCUCAUCAAAUUCCAUACAUGCGUUUUCAAAGACCUCAUUGCUGUGGAGAAAAACUUCAUAACCAUGAAUCAAAGAUCUUUGAACUAGAAAAAGGAAAAAAUUACUAAAAAAGCAUGUACAUGCAAAAGGUUACUUUGAUUUAUUAGUUUUAUUAUUUUUUAGACAAGAUUUCUAUUAAUCAGCUUAACUACUUUGACAUAUAAGUUUAGUUGUAAAAAGUGUUAGCCGAGGGCUUAAGAAAAUUAUUAUCUCAAAGGCCCUUUAUUGGAGGAAGACAAAUUAAUAGACCCGAUUCUUAUAGCCAAUGAAGUAGUGGAACUGUGGAAGAAUAUUGCUCUAAGAAAAAGAGGUGGAUUCUGAAAUUAGACCUCGAGAAGGCCUUUGACCGAGUAGAUUGGGCUUUUGCAGGAAAAAAAUUCGCCUGAAAAAACUUUGAUCGCAUAUGGUCUUCAUGGAUAAUGGGCUGUGUGUCAAAUUCAAAAUUCUCAAUUUUCAUCAAUGGUAGACCAAGGGGAAGGAUAAAAGCUACAAGAGAUAUUAGACAAGGUGAUUCUCUCUCACCUUUCCUUUUCCUUCUAGUCAGGGAAGUUUUGAAUACACUUCUGGCUAAAAUACAUGAAAAAUGGAAAUUCAAAGGGUUUAUUGCGGGAGAAGACAAAGUUCAUGUUUCCUCCAAUAUGCUGAUGACACUUUGAAUUUUUGCAAAUACAAUGAUGAGAUGUUAGAUAAUUUGAAGAAAAUUAUUGAACUGUUUGAAUGGCGCUUGGGGCAAAGACUAAAUUGGGAGAAAUCAGCAAUCUUUGGUCUUAAUAUUGAUGACAGCAAUUAUCGAGCUGAAUUGUAAAGCUAUUCAUCCCCCACUUAUCUUGGCCUACCCACUACAAGGAUACCCCAAAGAGUGACAUUUUAAGAGAAACCAGUGCCCAGCUUAAAAGAAAAAACCAAGAUUGAUUUGGCAUAUUGCAAUCAAAGCAACGUUAGCUGAAUUGUGGUUUGAGAGAAACCAAUGACUCUUUCAUGACAAAGCCUCCCCUUGGAUGAUUCGCUCGGAUAUAGCUUGGCUAAAUGCUUCUUCAUGGUGUGCUCUCUACAAAGAGCUUGAAGCUUUCUCCAUCCAAGAAAUUAAUCUUAACUUGAAGGCCUUUAUUUUUCCUCCCUCUUAGCAUUCGUUCAAAGGUCUUGUUUUCUCUUGUAUUACAAAUUGUAAUAUUUUUAGCUCUUGUAUUGUUUCUGUAUGAAUGUUCUACUUGAACUUUGUAACACUUGAUUUCAUCGAUUUUUGUAUUGAAAAUGAUGAGUGCUAAGGGGGUGUCAACCUAGUUGAGAUGUCUCAUGUCCAGGUGCACUCACUAAUCAUUAGGAUUAGUUGUUGUCUUUCCAUUGUACUAUUGUCUCAUUUCAUUAUCUUAAUGAGAGGGCUUGUUUCCUUUUUAAAAAAAUGAUAAUAAUAAUAAACAAGGUUUCUAUUAUAAAGUUAAAAAGUCAAGCAACCAAAACCUGUAAAUUUUGCUUUCAAUCCUAUCUAUAAGUUGCAUAUUGUACCUAUAUUUUAGGGUUUUAAGCUCUCCAUGAUGUGUUGUUGCAAUUGUCAAUGCAGCGCCAGAUUUAGCAAAAGAUUCCAGCAGUGACAUCCCAAGUGCGGCUCCCUCCAGAGGAUUGGUCCCUGCACCAACCUACCAAGCAGAAAAAACUAGACUAAAAUUGACGAUGGUUUUUCAACGGUUUCCAUACUGACUUUCAUACUUACUUCAUCCAAUAGUACCAACGAUUGACUAGUUGAAACUGACUGUAUGUCCUGCCAUAUGUAAGAAAGUAAUCAAAUGAAGAAAAUAUAUCAGAUAAUUCGAAUAAGUGAGUGAAACAAUUUGCAUUAUAGACAAUAGCCUUGCUGGAAAUGGGAGGGAAAACUCUCACGUAGACCAUAAAGUAGCCCUGACAUAAGUUCAUUAAAAGAAACUAUUCAGCCCCUCUCCUCCCAAGAACUCUGUUAUGUUUUCUCUUCCACGUAUUUAUUUUUUUAAAGGAAACCAGCCUCUUUAUAAUAAUAUUUUUUUAACAAGAAAUAAGCCUCUUCAUUAAGAUAAUGAUAUGAGGCUAAUGCUCAAAAUACAAUGAAAACAACAAGCAUAAAGCAUCGGAUCUGGAGAUGAAUCCAGGCAUCUCAACUAGAUUGACACCUCCUUAGCACCAUCAUCACUUCCAAAACAGAACUUAUAAAUAACUUAAAAAGACUUAAAAACAUUGCUUGUGGCUCUUUUUCCAAAAACCCAGCUGAUGUCAAAAAACGUAAAUAAUGCAAACCAACAAUUUUGAGCACAGCUGCACUCAAAAGAGGAUGUGCAGAAUGUCUUCCUCUUCUCCUUUGCACAGUGCACAAAUACUUGGAGACAAACAAUGGGAAGGACACUUUCUUCGUAAGACCGAGGAGCAAUUUAAGUGACCAAAAAUUAUAAUCCAUAACAGAAUAUUAACUCGUCUAGGACUUCUCGUCUUCCAUAAAACCUUCUUUAUUGUCGUGUCAAGUGGAGAACCCAAAGAGAGAUGAUUUACCAAUGAUUUGACUGUGAAGGAUCCAUUUGCUUCAAGGGACCAAAAGUGUCUGUCACUAGAACCUGUCACCUUUUCCUUGACUAUGAUACUAAACAAAAUUUGGAAAUCAAGUAUCUCAUCAUCCUUUAAAAAUCUUCUAAAAGAAAUGGACCGUGAAGAAGUACCUUGAUCCCAAUGAUCCACAACCGAGCCAUUGCGGCAUUGUGGAAUUUGAAGUAGUUUUGGAAAUCUGGUUUUUAGAGGGAUUUUAUCGACCCAGAAUCUAGCCAAAACCCAUUUCCACGUUUAAACACCACUAAGGCCUCCACUCUUUGCCACGACCUUGAAAUAUUUAUCCAUGGGCUUCAAAGGAUGCAACUAAUCUUACCCGAGGCGUGCCAACAAAAUUUGUAUCUACAAUGAAUGCUUGCAACCAUUUUACUCCAAAGUGAUGAAUCAUCAUUCAAGAACCGCCUACCCCAUUUGGCUAAAAGAGCCAAGUUUCUGAUAGACCCUCAAUUAUACACCAGUACAGUAGAAGGAAGAAGAAGCAAGGUUAACCGCACGUGCUAGGGAGAAUAGCCUUAAUAGUUUUAAUAUUGUUAGUAGAUGCUUCCAUAAUAAAAUAAUAGAGCAUAAGUAGGAGUUUGUUAGGGAGAGAGAAAGUUAGUUAGAGUAUAAAUAGGAGUUGGUUAUGGAGUAUAAAUAGGAGUCUGUUGGGAGGGAGAAGGGUGUGAAAAAUUAAGGCUGCAAUAUUCCUUGAAAGAGAGGAAGGGCAGGGGGUUAGGGUUCUUUAAUUUUUCUUUUACUGCUUUUAUAUUGUAAUUCUGUUGCAGAUAUCAAUAAAUAGAAACACUAUAUCAGUGUUCUAUCAGUUUCUUGCUCUUAGAUCUUUUAAACUGAGCCCUCCAUCUUCUUGUGUUUUGGAGACCAAGUCUCAUUUAACUAAAUGAUUAAUUUUUCCACUGUUGUUUCCUUCCCCAAAGAAAUUGCUCAGAACUUGUUCUAUCUUUGAUAAGACCUUACCUGGCAACAAAAUGGAAGACAUGUGAUAAAUUCAAAGGUUAGAGAAUUGGUUUGCAAAGAGUAGCUCUUCCUCCCCGAGAAAGAUUAUAUCUUCUCCACUUGUCCAGCUUGCCUUGUAACUUAUCAAUAACCGGUUGCCAAAAUUCCACCUUCUUCGGAUAGCCACCCAAGGGUAGGCCUACAUAUAUAAGUGGAAGGUGGUCCACCUUACAAUUUAGCCUUGUUGCCACCAAGAGAAGUUUGCCAUCAUCACCAUUAAUGCCACAUAGAGCAGAUUUUCCCAAUUUAUUUUUUGGCCUGAGCACCAUUCAAACAGUUCAAGAGUAUCAUAUCAUGGAGAUUAUCAAGCAUUUCAUGAUCAAACUUGCAGAAAAUUAGGGUAUCAUCUGCGAAUUGGAGGAUAGAGACAUGCACUUUUUCUUUUCCAACCCAAAAUCCUUCGUACCUUCCUUUUUCAUGUAAUCUUGCAAUCAAAGAACUCAAAAACUUCACUUACUAGAAGAAAUAAGAAAGGGGAGAGUGGGUCCCCUUGUCUAUUUCCUCUAGUGGCCAGAAUUCUCCCCUUGGUCUUCCGGUGAUAAAAAUGGAAAACUUCGUGUUUGAAAAGCAUCCCAUAAUCCAUGAAAUCCAUUUUGGAUCAAACAAAUUUCCAUGAAGCACAUUUUCUAGAAACUCCCAAUCAACUCUAUCAAAGGCUUUUUCUAAGUCAAGUUUAAGAAUCCACCCUUUUUUUCUUGGAUCUGUACUCCUCUACAACUUCAUUAGCAAUUAAAACUGGGUCAAGUAUUUGCCUUCCUUUGAUAAAAGCACUUGGUGUUGGAGCAAGAAUGGUUGGCAUCACUCUUUUCCGUCUUUCUACGGUGUUUUAGCUAAUUAUCUAAUAGACAACCGUCGUUAGACUUAGGGGCCUAAAGUCUUUUAUCAAGGCCACCAUUAUCCAUCAAUAUUGCAGGAGGGGCAAGAAUGAAAUUAAGGGGGGAAGUUAGUUAUCCAUGAGAAUGAGGAACGUAAAGUUAUGUAAUGGGUUUGAGGGGACCACGAGAGGGAGAAAAGGGUAUUUUGAGAAAGGAAAGGGUAGUAUAAGUAGCUUGGGUUGUUCUUCCAUUUUCUUUAGCUUGGAAUUGGCUUGAGACUCUUACAGUGAGAGAUGGUUGGAAUUUACAUUGUAAGGGAAACCUUACAAAUUGGUAUUCGAGCCUUCAUCCUUGGGGUGAUUGGACCAAUACAAUGGCAAAGAAGUUUGAGGGGCGGAUUGACGCCAUAUAUAGGGAGAUCGAGACUACCAAAGGAGUCAUUCGAAGAUUACCUGAGUUGGAAGAAUCAUUGAAAGGGUUGGCUGAACAACGACGGAAGCAAUUCAAAGAAACUCAGAAGAUGUUUGCAAGGUUGUCUGUCGAAUUGAUGUUGGGGCGAGGAGGUUCACUGGCAGCAGGGGAAUCUUUGUCACAGCCAAAAACAAGGGAAAUAGAAAAGUUAAGAAUGCAUUCUUGAAUGGAGAUUUAGAAGAAGAAGUGUAUAUGAGUCCUCCACCGGGAUUCGAAGCCCAGUUUGACCAUCAGGUUUGCAGACUUCGAAAGUCCUUGUAUGGGUUGAAACAGUCACCAAGAGCUUGGUUUGACAGAUUUACCACCUUUGUCAAGUCUCAAGGGUACACUCAAGGGCAUUCUAAUCAUACUUUAUUCACAAAAAUCUCCAAGUUUGGAAAAAGUACAGUUUUGAUAGUUUAUGUUGUUGACAUUGUUCUAUCUGGCGAUGAUGCCAAUGGAAUCCUCCGAUUAAAAAGGAAGAUGGGGGAUGAGUUUGAAAUUAAAGACUUGAGGAAUCUGAAAAACUUCCUUGGGAUGGAAAUUGCCAGAUCUAGAGAAGGCAUCUCUGUAUCCUAGAGGAAAUACACCCUUGAUUUGUUAACUGAGACAGGUAUGUUAGGAUGUCUCGUUGAUACAUGUAUUGAGCCCAAUGCCAAACUCAUAGAUACAAGUGAUAAUUGACAAAGAAAAGUAUCAACGCCUAGUGGGCAAACUGAUUUAUUUAUCUCACACUAGGCCUGACAUCUCAUAUGUUGUGAGUACUGUUAGUCAGUUCAUGCAAACUCCUUACGAAGAACACAUGAAGGCAGUAAACAGAAUCCUAAGAUAUUUAAAAAUAAUUCCUGACAAAAAGUGUAUUGAGGCAUAUACAGAUUCUGACUGGGCAAGGUCUAUUGUUGAUUAAAAAAAUCUACUUCCGAGUACCGUACCUAUGUAUGGGGCAAUCUCGUUACUUGGAGAAGCAACAAGCAAGGGGUUGUUGCCAGGAGUAGUAUUGAAGCUGAAUACAAGGCCAUGAGUUUGGGAAUCUGUGAGAAAGUUUGGCUUCAAAAGGUGUUAUUCGACCUUCACUAGGACUAUGAGGUGCCUAUGAAAUUUUUUUGUGAUAAUAAAGCGGCUAUCAGGAUUGCUAAUAACCCGGUCCAACAUGACAGAACUAAACAUGUAGAGAUUGACAGACACUUUAUCAAAGAGAAAUUGGACAGUGGUAGCAUCUACAUUCCUUACAUACCUUUAAGUCAACAAAUUGUUGAUAUUCUCACAAAAGAGCUACUCAGACAAAGCUUCAAGUCUUGUGUUAUCAAGUUCGGUCUUGUUGUAUGUUGAAAGCCCAAGAGUUUGUUAAGAUCUUAUAGUGUCCUAAUUAUCUUUUAUUAUUUUUGGGGGGCAAGAAACCUUUGUAGCUAUGUUAAACCAAGCUGACAAGGGAGGAGAAGAACUUACUUCUUUGUCGACUGACUUGCUGGAGUUGCUGUUAUCAAUAGGAAAAAUACAGCUGCUUUUUUUUUAAUUUUACUUUUAGAGAUAGGUGACCUUUGCUCUCCAUUUUUUGACUUCUCACAUGCCUUAUUUUCAAAAUUAGCAGACGUUGGAAGGAGCCUGGGACCCACUAAAUUGAUAACACAGCUGUCUUCCGCACCCUUCUCUUUCUUCUUUAAUAACAACUUUUCAUUUUCUGGCAGAGUAAAUGUAGCUCCCAUCUGAACUUUAUUACUUUUAUCAUUGGCCUUCGUGGAGAUUAAAUUCUUGCUGGCACUCUUAAUCAUAGAAACAUUACUAUUAUCUUUAUUACUACAUGUAAGUGACUGCUGGUCUCCUACAAGUGAUUUUUUAAAUGGAAUAAAAUUAAAAGAAGUUUCCUUUGGCGGGAAGGCCGAGUUUCUCCUGAUUGGUGGUUCUGAUUUUGAACGGCUCUUGGAAUUCUCAGACUUUCGAUUGUCUUCUGCCCACUGUUUACUAACGGAACUAACAUUAGCCGGAUGUUGAAGGGAAGAAUUCCCAGAAUCCGACGAUGCAUUGCAGUUCCGGAGAGAUGGUAUUGGUUUCUGUUGAAGAAGUUUGAACAGCCUUUCAGACGACUCAUAAGGGUUCCUUUGCGUGCUUGGGAUGGAGUUCGAAGGAAGGAGAUAGUCAAACUUGGAGCUAAAUGAAUCUUCCUCGAAGCCUUCGUCCUUCAUAACUUGGCUUAAUCUGACAAUAUCUAAAGGAUUAGAAAAAUCGAGAGUAAAUAAAUCACCUUGAAAUUUGCUGGGUGGAUUGGAUACAGAGAUAUCCCCAAAAUUCAAAAAAAUGUUUCCUCUUCUUUCAUCAAAAAUCUCAAUGGUUGUCGGAAUGAAACCACACAGAUUUUCCUUCACUUGAAUCUUGGUUUCUGAGACAUCAAUGAAGUUGAUAGUUUCAGCUGCAAUAUUUUCUAGACCUCCAAAAUGAGCUCCAAUCACUUCAAAAGUUUUAUUACACCAAUAAUCAAGGGGUAGAUUUUUUAUUGAGAUCCACCCUCCAAAGCCUUUCGAAUAUAACGGUCUUCCAUGGAUUAGAUUGUUCCACUUUUCAAACUUUAAAUGAAAGAACCAAAAGAUUGUCAUUUGCCUGGAUUUUCAAUGAACUCCUUCAAAGGACCACGAUCCAAUUCAAUCAAAGCAUUGUCUGCAAAUAAUGGAUUGAUGAUAACUUUUGAGUCGAAAAAGAGUUCUGAUGCCAUAUUAAUUUUUACCCAACUAUCAAAUUCAAAAAGUUUUGAAACAACCUAAAGAUUAUCAAAAUCGACUUUGAAGACUACCGGAUUUUUAAUCACCCAAUAUUUGCUUGUACUUUGUUUUGUGGUAUCGGAAAGAGGUCUUGGGUGACUCUUUUGAUUUUGCUAUCUCCACAUAGCUUCCUUUCGUAUUUCUGUUCGGGUGCUUCAUAAAGGAGUUGAACAUGGAUUGGGUGGAGAACCAGAAAUUGUAGUCAUGGAUGUCCUUGAAGUCUCCCAACGUUUUUCUGAAACUUUUCCACCCUUGUUUAUCUUCACCAAUGGGGAUAUGAAUAAAUGAUCUCCCUCCAGAACGAGGCCAUGCAAUGCAUCUCAGAACCCACCCACUUUUGGAUCUGAAUUUAGAAGCUUCAACCCUUCCACACUCAACUUUUUCUUUCUUAUAGAAAUAAUCUUCUUUAGAUUUCUUGUUCAAAUCUUUCACCGUUUCAAUGAACCAACUAAGUUGAAGGAUUGAUAAAGACAUAGAAAUAUUAGCUUCAACAUCUUCAAUGUGAAAAGCUUUAUCUUCAUGCCAGAUACAGAAAAUUAGGUUUUCGAUUUUGCAGCUUUUUACUUCCAUCUUUGAGAAAGUAAGAAUGGUAGCUAGGGUAAUGUCCAAGAACAAGGCAACGACUAGCAGUGUCUACCGGAUAAGGUAAUCAACCGGCAAAAAAUUUAAGGGAAGGAGGAGGAGAAAGAAAGUAGGAGAGAGGGAAGAGAGAAGGGGAGAGAGAAUUUACCGUUUUGUGAUCAACUUUAUUAUUUUUAUUUUGGAUUCUACAACCUAUACAACCUAUUAAUAAACGUUCCAUGUAUCAUUAUGAGAUACAGAAAAAUAAUAAAAAAAUAGCAUCAUGGAUUUUUUCCCUAUUCUAGGGUUUCCACGUAAAAUAGUUUAUUUCUUCUCUUUUCUUCUUUCAAUAAAUACAAGUUGAUGCACAUUGCUCGGAAAAUCUCUAUCAAACACCCUUUUCAAACCACAAAAGUCAAACAACUUCACCCAAUAUCUAUGCACAAAGGGACAAGUAAAGGAUAGAUGCUGUGAAUGCUCGCUGGCCACCUGACACGAGGGGCAGAUGGAAGGAGAUGAACUGUGAGAAGGCACUUUUUGUUUGAAUUAUUUUUUGCCUUUAAGCAUUAUUCACACCAGAAUGUUUACUCUACUUCGGCUCAUGGAUUUCCACGAAGCUUUUUCCAAAUCUUUCUCAAUGGGAGAUGACACGGGGAGAUGGUUAACAAGUGAGACCUUUUUUUUUGAAAAGAAGACAAGCUUCUUUAUUAUUAAUAAACUCAAUGUACAAGAGAUCUAUACAAUGAGAACAAUAGGGAAGCCAAGAAAAGCGGGAGAGAAAGGAUCAGUAGGUGCACCCGAACAUCUCAACUAGGUUGACACCCCCAUAGCACCCUCAUCAUAUCUAAAAUACAAAGAAAAGACCAAAAUACAAGAAAAAUACUAAGGUCAUGAAAAUACCAAAGUAACCACCAAAAUAACUACGAAAGCUACCUAUGGUAGACUAAAACAAGGCUGAAAGGAAAAACAAAACGGCAGAAAUACAUAUAAAACCCGUCCAAACUACAAAAGCACUAUUUCUGAACUGGCAAUCGAGGGAAACUACUUUGUAACUCAUCCGAUGAAGGCGGUCCAAUUGAGGCAGAUGUCUUGAAUGGAGUAAUCUUUGAAUUUUGCAUUUGAAGAACACCAAGUUGCUGCAUUUCUUUUAGGGUUAACAAGUGAGACUGAAAACAUCUUGCUGGAAUCAACAGACCAAAACCACUUAUCAGGGCUGUCUUUCACCUGAAAUCUUGAAAUCAAGCCAUGUAAGGAUUGUAGAUCCGAAAUUUCACCAUCCUUAAGAAACCUUCCAAACAUUGGAGACCAUGAGGAACAAUUAUGGUCCUAAUGGUAGCAUCUGAACCAUUUGGGAGCUGGGCAAUUCUAUAGAGAUUUGGUAACCUUACACACAAAGGGAGAUUAUCAAUCCAAUAGUCAACCCAAAAGCCAACCCUUCUGCCAUUGCCGACUUUACAGGAAGCUAAAACGUCAACUUUCAGCCAAGUUCUUGAAAUGUUGACCCACUGGCUUCGAAGACAAAAACAAGAUUUUCCAGUCGUGUGGCCAUUUGAAUAAAUCCGUAGUGUGGAUGCUUUUCAUUACUUGGCAACAUGUAUAGGGAAUUUUUCUCAUGGAAGAACCGCAAAGCCCAAUUAAGCUAAAAGGGCCAGAUUUUUAUUCUUUAAACCACCCAGCCUAGGCUGCCAUUAUUUAAAGACCUUGAGACAACUUCCCAUUUCAUCAAAUGAUUCAAUUUUCCACCGUUAUGUCCUUCCCAAAAGAAUUUGCUAAAAGUGCACUCCACUUUGUUGGUAACUUUCUCCCGCAUUAAGAAUUUUAUGCUUUUUUAGUGGAGUAUACUUAGUAUUUUAUGUUAAAUGUAUAAUUAAAAAAAAAAAAAAAUAGUGUAUCCUCAAUGUGUCCUCAUCCUAAUAUUUUAGAAAUUGGCAUAUCGCCAUGUCCUGCGUAUCCGUAUCCGGGUCCUUGUCCUAUGUCCGAGUCCGUGUCUUAUUUAUUCCUACUUAUUUAGGAGAUGAUGAUAGUGCUAAGGGGUGUCAACCUAGUUGAGAUGUUCAGGUGCACUCGAUGAUCCUCACAUUUGUCUCUUCAUUGUAAUACUUCUCAAUUCUCACUAUGUAUUGUCUCAUUCCAUUAUCUUAAUGAAGAUGCUUGUUUCCUUUUAAAAAAAAUAAAAAAUUGGUCUUUGGUUUCACCCAUCGACAUCCCCUGUUUUUUUAUCUUCCAUUCUUGAGAAUCAUACAUUCAAAAGAAGGAAGAGUCUUUUAGGGAUGCAUCUCAUCAGGGUAUUUGUUUGGUCGGUUUAGUCUGAUCAUAACAGACACAUUUUCAACAACAAAGAGCAGUCAUUUGAUCUUUUCUAAUUUUCUUGGAACAUGUUAUUUUCUCAGAUAUAUCUUGUGUAACUUGUUUAGGCUUUUCUCCAGAUAUAUUCCACAUAUAGCUUCGCCACUUGUUUGUCCAAUCGGAGACAUCUUUCAUAACUCCUUUGGAUUGGGAUCCUUUCCCCUUUUUCGUAAUUUCAUACAUCGAUGAAAUUGUUUCUUUAGUUAAAAAAUACAGCUCGUGAGAAUAUAUAGAAAAGGAUACUAUCUAAACCAAAAAAAGAUAAAAGAUAAAGAUAAAAUAAUUCGAACAAUGAAUGAAGGGGACAAAAAUAGGAUUGGAUCCAAAUUUACUUACACUUAUUUUUCUCAAAUGGCCAGAAAAGGUGGACAGAGAUUGGGUAAGGGACUGUUCAUCACCGAUAUCAGCAAAAAUAGAAUCAAACCAAGGGAUUUGUACGGACUCUGAAGCUAAAACGUGAAGCCCUACAAUGUGAACGAAAGGAAAGAAAGGUCAUUUAAAUAUUCAAUUUUAUAAAGCCAAUAUCACAAGCGAAAAAGUUGAAGCAUAGUAAUAAUGAAGAAGGUCUUUCAAUAUCAAAUUUUUUCUAGUCAUCAUAUAUGUAAUAUUCGUCUGCAUCUCAUUCCACCACAUUUUGAAUUGUUACGUAAAUUAGACCCCAUUCCACCCCAUUACCAGCCCCACUUGGGCCAAACAAGAUUGAGCAACCAAGCUCAGCUUGAAUUCAUUACAGAAAUAAAUCAUUUACUAAACCAGAAAAGAAAAAUUAAUUUAAGAUAAAUAAAUAAUAAUAAUAAAAGAAGCCGACCAUUCUUAAAAAUACCUGAUUUUGCCAUCAUAGCUGCCAAUCCAAUGGUCUUCAAACAAACAGUCUUACCCCCAGUAUUAGGACCCGUUAUAACUAAAACUUUUAUUCUGCGAGAUAUUGAAAAAUCAACCGAAACAGGACGAGCUUGCUCCAAUUGAUCAACCUAAUAAGAAGCACUUUUGUAUUUGAAUGUAUUAAAGAAUAAUACAAGAAGAUCUCAUCAACGGACACUAAAUCACAUUAACAAAUUACCUUCAUUUUAAAUAAUGAAAUAUCUAUAACUUCUUUUUCUUUCCAUGACAUAUUCCCUCCAGGAGGUUUUCUCCCCAUCUCCUAGGAGAAAAAUGAUGGAUCAGAACAGCUCAAUUUAAUAAAUAAUUGCUCUACAGUAUCAGACUCAGGAUAGCUUACAUUAAAAGCAUUUUUAACAUCCCUCUUAGCAUUUUUCAAAUUUUCUCUAUAUUGCUGAAGUAGUAAAGGGUGAUGGGUAUUUUGUAAAUAGAGGACCCAUUCAUUCUUCUUCAAGUGUGAUGCCUCAGAUUGGUCCCCUGAUAAACAGACAUUAGCAAUAGAAGAGUUGCAGCCUUCUAGUAGGACUAAAUUGGGGCACGUCCCCCCAAAUGAAAGACCAUAAGAUGCUCGAGCAUUGACCUAUCCAUUAAGGAAAAACAUAAAUUUUCCAACUAAGGAAUAACAUUGGAGAACAGGGAUAUUGUGAUGAUUUCAGAGAAAUUCAUAAAUAAAUAUGUCGAUGCCAAUUGUCAAGAUUAGUGUUGAGAUAAAUUUAAAAAGAAAAAAAAGGGUGGUUAUAUAGAUAAUAUUGUUUUUGAGAUAGACACUUGAUGAUAUUACAAGUCAAGUAACUCAAAUUAUUUCCUUGUAUAGUAAUGAUUUUUCUUUCCAUAUAAGUUUAGAUUGAUAGCUUAAUUUCAGCACAUUGGUUGAUAAUCUUCUCGUACAUAUUGGGUCUUUUUCAAUCACUAGAUAAUAAGAGAGAAUACUUUUACUCAGCUUUAGAGAUCAAUGGCACCUCCGUUCGUAAGCUUCCACACGGGAUUCUAUCACUUCACCAUCCUCUCACGAGCAAACUGAUAUUCAUUUUAAUUUGUAUACAACUCAUUUUCUCUCAAGACCUUGAGUACAACUGAGGUCUUAAAGAAAAGAACCUGGCACAUUUGCCAAAAUGGGGUUGCCGGUAUCUUUUUUUUGAAACGGAGACAAAAACUUCUUUAUUAAUAUGAACUCAAGGUACAAGAUUCUAUCACUUCACCAUCCUCUCACGAGCAAACUGAUAUUCAUUUUAAUUUGUAUACAACUCAUUUUCUCUCAAGACCUCGAGUACAACUGAGGUCUUAAAGAAAAGAACCUGGCACAUUUGCCAAAAUGGGGUUGCCGGUAUCUUUUUUUUGAAACGGAGACAAAAACUUCUUUAUUAAUAUGAACUCAAGGUACAAGAGAUUUAUACAAAGAGAACAAUAAAGAAGUAGUAAUCAAGGGUGUCCUAGAGGGAUCAAAAGGCGCACCCAGGCAUCUCAACUAGGUUGACACCCCUAUAGCGCCAAACAUCAUAUCCCGAGUACAACCAAUCAAAACAAUAAAGAAAACAUAAUAAAAGCAGCCAGCUUAGUGCAAAGGUCCAGAAAAACAAUAUGGGACCGGAAGAAACAACAACAAUAAACUAAAUGGGGAGGGGGGGCAAAAACAAUCUGAAACUGGGGCAAUCCUUCAAGGCUUCAAAAAGCAUUAGAGGGCUACAGACUGAAUUACCUGCAGACAUUUAAACUGAGGCAGCAAAAGAUUAGGCAGGUUGAAAGAGCAAGGCAGCCUAAUGAAGGAAAAUGUCUUGGAUGGAAUAAUUAGCAAACUCCUUUUUAAGGGAACACCAAGCUGCUGCGUUAAGGUCUGCUACAUGCAUAAUUUCUGCCCUUGCCCUUACUUUAUCAAGGAAGAUAUGUUGAUUUCGUUCGAACCAUAAUUUUGAAAGUAAAGCUUUGGACAAGUUUUCCCAUAUGAUAUUUGAUUUUUUGGGCAAAAUUGGACCCUACAGAAGUUGAGUCAAACUAGCACUUAGUGAAAUGUCAAAAUCCCAAGCUAAGUUAAACAAGGAGAAAAUCCUUGCCCAGUAGAACGAAGAGACAGGAAAGUUCAGGAAAAUAUUAGAAAGACUCUCACUAGCCUUCAAACAAAGAGGACAGAUCGAGGGGGAGAGGCUUUUAUUGGGGGCUUUCUUUUGCAAGAUUUCUGAACUAUUGAGGGAUCCGAAGACCAUAAUCCAAAUCAAAAUAUUAAUUCUCCGUGGGCUGCCUGUUUCCCAAAUUGCUGAAAACAGACGUUUAUCCAUUGGAGAGGCAGACUUUAAGUGAGCCGAAAGAGACUUAACUGAAAACCAGCCUUGAGGAUCAGUGGACCAUGUUCUAUACUCGUCAGAGUUAAACACUUUUUCAGAAGAGAGGGGGGAAAGCAGUGAUUAAAAAUCUACAAUUUCAUCAUCCUUUAGACUUCUUCUAAAAGCCAAUGACCAAGAAGAAAUAUCACGGUCCCAAUGUGCAGCAACUGAACCGGUGGGCAACAGAGCAAUUCUAAAAAGCCUAGAAUAUUGCUCUUUGAAGGGGGCGUUACAAACCCAAAGAUCUGUCCAAAAGCCAAUUCUAUGGCUGUUUCCAAGAUUAAAAGAGGCUAAUGAGUCAACCGACCUCCAACUCUAGCAAUGCUAACCCAAGAACUCCUUAGGCUAUUACCGGACUGCCCUUUAGUGAACCAAUCAAAUGGCUCCUUUCUGUGAAUGCUUCUAAUCAUUUGCCUCCAAAGAGCUGACUCUUCUUUUGAGAAUCUCCAACCGCAUUUAGCGAGCAAAGUGGUGUUAUGAUUUUUAAUUCCUCCUAGGCCGAAGCCCCCAUCUUUUAGAGGAGCUGAAGCCUUGUUCCAUUUAACAAGGUGGUUGAUUUUGCUACCGGCAUGGCUUUCCCAAAAGAAAUUUUGUAUGAUCCUCUCUAUAGAUGCAGCCACAUUUUUUGGUAUUGAAAAUAAAGAUAGGUAAUAUGUAGGAAGGCUAACCAGAACUGAUUUGCAUAAUGGAUGUCUUCCGCCUCUAGAGAUGUUAUAUAUUUUCCACCUAUCUAGUUUCUUAUGAAUUUGAUCGAUGACUGGUUGCCAGAACAUCUUUUCCCGAGGGUAGCCUUCAAAAGGGAAACCUAAAUAAAUAAUCAGAAGCUUUUCUGCCUUGCACCCUAGCAGAUUUGUUGUUUGAAUCAAAUCAUCCUCUCCCACAUUAACACUCCCAGUUUACUUUCUGCCCCGAAUACCAUUCAAAUAAUCUAAUGGCGUCUUUAAGCUUAAGAAGCAUCAUCACGUCGUACUUACAAAAGAGAAAGUGUCAUCAGCAAAUUGAAGCAAUGGGAGGUGGAUUAAGUCUUUGCCAACAAGGAAACCUUCAAACUGGCUGUUACUAUGAAGCUAGUUUAUGAUUUCUCCUGGAACCUCACUUACUAGGAAAAAUAAAAAGGGGGAGAGGGGGUCCCCUUGGCGGAUACCUCUAGAUGCUGUUAUUCGACCUCUUGGCUUACCAUUAAUGAAGACUGAAAAUUUUGGAUUUUUUAGGCAGCCCAUUAUCCAUGAGAUCUACAUGGAACUAAACUUUUUUAGAGAUAAAAUAUUUUCUAAAAAGUUCCAAUCGGUUAUCAAAGGCUUUUUCCAAAUCAAGUUUUAAAAUCCAACUUUUUUUCCGUUUUCCCUAUAAUCUUCCACUACUGCCUCGUAAGCAAUUAAAAUUGGGUCAAGAAUUUGCCUACCUUUAAUAAAGGCACUUUGAGUAGGACUUAUAAUUGCAUCCAUAACAUGUUUUAGACAUUCAGAUAGAACUUUUGCAACUACCUUGUAUGCUAACGUAGUAAGACUGAUUGGGCGGAAAUCCUUGACUAGAGUCGCGUUCUCUUUUUUAUGCACUAAACAAAUGAAGUUUUCUUGAAUGCAAACAUUUAAUCUUCCAUUUUUGUGGAAAGAUUUGAAGAUAUCCUUGAAAAUAGACCAGUGAUUGAUUAGGAACUCCGCUGUGAAUCCAUCUGGGCUCGGAGCUUUAUUUCUGCCAAGUGCCUUUAAGGUUUUAAAGAUUUCCUCCACUGAAAACUGGGUAACAAGAGCCUCAUUUGAAUUGCGGAAACACCAGACCAAUCACUAUUAAUAGGGAUGAAUCUGUCCCCCGGAAUUCUUGUGUAAAGUGUCUCAAAAAAUUCUAGCACAAUCCUUUCAAUGUCGCGGAAAGAAGUCAAAACGACCCCAUUAUCGUCUUUUAAUUCGGUUAUGAGGUUCCUUCUUUUCUUUGCAUUUAGAAAGCGGUGGAAGAAACCUGUAUUCUCAUCACCCAAAGACAGCCAAAUGAGUUUACUUUUCUGAAUAUAAUUCCGCUCUUCAUUUUGGAAAAUGCUAAUUAAUUCCGCUUGCAUAGCUGUUCUAGAGCCCAGCUCUUCUUCAUUUAACCCGAUCAACUCAGCCACGGAAUCAUAUUUUUCUAAUUCUGACAGAAAGAUUUUCUCUCUUUCUUUGACCUUGGCUUGCACCGCAAUAUUCCAAGCUUUUACUGCCAAUUUAACUUAUCCAACCACUCAUGGAGAAUGAAACCAGCCCAACCAUGGAAGUUUGAACUGCUCACAGUUUCAACAAUAAUCUGAUUACAUUCACUGGACAGGACAAAACCAAAAAGGAGAGGGACCCCAAAGAAAAGCAUCAGCUUCCAAGAUUAAAGGAAAGUGAUCGAGAAGAUACGUGCUUUUUGUGAAACCCGAUGGGGUUGCAGGUAUCUUGAUGAAGAAAACUCGUUUUGGUACCAGGAUGUUUGAAGCACACAUGCCAAAGAUUAGCACAACGCUGGGAAUAAUGGUAAUAGUUUUGGGAACCCCUGGAUUACCAUAUCUAGAACCUGGUUAAAGGUGGAUGCUUUGGCAUCUUUAAACUUGGUUUAGGUACCACAAUUGUUUUUUGGCUAGACCAUUGGGAUGGAUUGGCUCCCUUUGUGCACUUGUCAUCCAAGGUUGUAUAGGGUUGCAUUACUUCCAAAGGGAUCGGUGGCAGAACAUUGGGAUGAAAAUUCUUCAUCUUGGUCUACAAAGAAGUUUUGAAUACACUGUAAAUAUAUAUAUAACAGUACUUACAUAGACCAUUCCUCCAACACUAGAGAGAAACCCAAUAUAAAGACUAAAACCUUCCUACCCACUUUCAGAUACCACCUCCAAUUUAGACAGACCUUCAUAACUGUCUAGUAACCACCCCCCAUAACUACUCAUAACCAUCAUCCGUACCAUGGGGAAGCAGUGCCCCUAUCAACUCAACUGGCAUCAAUAAAAUUCCACCUUGACAUAUUGGUUUCAUUCUUCAAGUUGGGGUGAGUUAGCCAUACUUUUGUGUGCACAUCAUUCAAACUAAUAUAUACAUUUCAAUCAUUCAUUUAGAUACUUCAAGAAUCUUCAACUAGAUAUAGUUAGUGUUAGUGUUGCAUUUUGAACAAGAACAUCUAGAAUUGGCCAAAGAAAGGAAUGAGAAGGCAAAGGAGUUGAGGGUGUUGUGAAAAAUACUCACCACAUCUAAUUCAAUUAUACAGCCAAUGAGUUUGCUAAUAUCUUCAAAAUCCAUUUUCACCUGUCGCGGAACAUAAAUAAGAUUUAAAAUAUAAUUAAUUGAUAUUAAGACUAUAUUAAUUCUAACCUAAAAGCUUAAAAUUUUAGGAUUAACUAUUAUUUAACAUCAUAUUCAUACCAUAAACUAAUAUACUCUAAAUAUAUGUAAACUUCAAAAUCACCAAAAGGAUGGUGGUUGCAUAAUAAACAACGUAGUUUCCAAAAUUAACGUUGGUGUUCUACUUUUGACGUUUAUGAUCACCUAUUAUUUUUUAACCAUCUCACACAUACCUUUUCAGUUAGCACAAAGAGAACAUCUUCCUCAGCUUUUGCCACUGAAGCCCUUGCUUGUUGCAACUCAUCAUUUAAAGGAACGGCAGAGAUUGGCUCUAUGAAUGAACCAAUCCCCGCAUCACUGCAACAAUACAUUCUUUUCAGAUAAGGAAAAUUUAGGAGCUGAUCUCCUUUCAUAAGAAAAAAGUUGGGGAAAUGCAAACAAAUUCUUCAAAUUCACCUACUUUCCAGUUUUUCACUAGUACAAUGUACAAAUUCCCGAAAGGUAUUAUAAUUUUUUUAGUUGCAUUAUUAGAAACAAAACCCUAUCCAUUUUAUUUUUAAUUAGUAAUUUAUUUUCAUCAUUUGUUGCCCAUAUGUACAGCAUAACAGAGUAUAUAAUUACUCACACCACUAUUACAAGCUAGCAUUAACAAUGUAAAAGCGACUACAUUCAAGUAAUGUGUAUCUUAAUGUGAGCAAUCACAGAAUCUUAAUAAAAAAUGUUUCCAGACUAGAAUGCAGUAUCUUCUAAUAAGUGCCUUGUAAAUCUAACAGCUCCAAGGUAUUUAGAUGAUUUUCUUAAAAUCCCUUACAAUUUUCGCCUAGAGCCACAAGAACCUCUUUCUUCCGAAGCAAUAAAGGUAAAUUUGUUUCAUUUAUUUAUCCUCUAUAACUAGCCACCUUCUUCAUUUUUUCCAUUUUCUUUCACAUUUCACAUAUCAAACUUGAGAUAAAACCCAAAUGGCUCCAUCUUUAAUCAUUGCAUAAACUGCAUCUCAGUGGGUUUUGUGUAUAUGAAAGAGAUGCACGCUCAAUGGAUUCUGUAUAUAUGAGAGAGAUGUACACAUAACUAUGUGUAUAAAAGAGAUGCACAUCCCAAGUUAUUAAAGAGGAGUGAGCACCGGGAGGAGGCAAGUUUGGGUUCCACCAUACUUAUACCUGCAUAGUCAUGGUGGUUGUAUGUACAUGUCCUGAUCCCAACAGUCAGGUCUCUUACUAAGCAUGCCAAUACUUUUCCUUUUCUAGAUGUUCAUUUAAGGUAAAAACAGAACUUAGGCAAACGACAGAAUUUGUUUGAAGGGCCGUGGAAAAUAGCUUGGUUCUUAAAUUCUGCUUUGAACUGCUUCACAUUUAAUUUUAUGUUUUCUUCUUCCGAAGAUAUACAGUUUGUUAAAGUUUUAUAAUUUCUACUUUUAUAACUAUGGGAUCCCAAACUGAAGCAUUGAUUAGAUUAUUUUUUAAUUUAAUUUUCCGUUCAAGUUGAUUUUGAAUUCAAAUAAAUGUCAAGCAAUCAUUGUCUUUAGAAGCCAAAAUUCUAAUAGAGCCUUAUUCACUUGCAAUGGUUUGAUGACUAGACACACAAUAUAUCUUAUUUAGCUUUUGAAAAGGAAACAAAUCUCUUCAUUGAAAUAAUGAAAAGAGACUAAUGCUCAAAGUACAAGAAACAUAAGUAAGAAAACCUAAUACAUAAAGCCAAAGAUAACUAACAUAUAUGAAAAUAUGACAGAGAGACAAUAAAUGCAAUCCAAUUCAGCAAAUAUUUUGAAUUGAAUAAUCUACAAAGAGCUUAGAAAGUGUGCACCAGGGUGACGCUAUAAGGUGAGCAGAAUUCAAUCUAAUCCAUGGAAGUUAAUAAUUUUUUAAUACAAAUGAAUGAAAGAAACUAAUUCUGAAUCACUAUAACCCUCAAAUUAGCUCAAUUUCAACCCUAAGGAUUGGGUUAGACACGGAUUGCUUUAAGAUCAAAUAUCUUGAGACAAAGAACAAGUUCCCUUGCCCAAGAUUUGAACACUCCACACAAUAGGAUGAUCGAUCUUGAAUGUUGUGGCAUACAUGAAUUGCAAAAUUCAAGAAGCUCUCCAAGCUAACCUUGAAAGAAAAGCUCAAAGGCUAAAUUCAAUUCACCAUAAAACUUAACUUUUGAAAAAUCUAAAGACAAAAAUUUAAAUAGUUUUCCAAUAAAACUCUAAUGCAAACAUAGUAAAAUGACAAAAUUAACCUUACUUGUCAUAAAAAGGAUAAAUUUGGAAAAUAUUAAAACUAAUCAAAAUUAUUAAAAAAAUUAAUUAGUAAUUUGACGCCCAUAUGGUUUAUAUCAUCCUUUCCUUCUUUUAAAGGAUUCAUCCUCGAAUCCAAAUCAAAACCUUGUAAAGUAGCUUGUUCCAUUUUGUUGGAAAUGAUGAGAGUGCUAAGGGGUUGUGAGCCUAGUUCAGAUGUCUUUAGAACUCAAAGACAAAGAUGUACAACCUGUAGAACAGAUCCAGUUCAAGUAAGGUCGUAGCCUAGUUCAAAUGUCUAGGUGCACUCUUUGAUCCUUUUGAAUUAUUGUUAUUUGACCAUUAAGAUAUAUUUUGAGCUUUCUCUUGUGCGGGUUUCACUUGUAGCUCUUUCUUUCAUACUUGCUAGACCCUACCCUCUCUAGAAAUUUUCUUUUUCCUGCACUAUGGAAGGUGAAAUCCCAAAUGAGGUUAAGUUCUUCUACUAAGUUAUUCGCGAAAGAUUUAUUACUCUAGAUCAACUUUUUAGAUUUAUUACUCUAGAUCAACUUUUGAAAAAGUUUUCUUCUUUGGUAGGCUCUUUGUUAACUUCUUUAUCAAAGGAUAAAAAAAGAAUUGUAUCGAAUUUUUUAGAGUCGGGGCUUCGCACAGUCUAUAGGGAAGUUUCUUAUUCUUUUUCUUUUUCCUUCCUUUUUUUCAAGGUGCUUGACUUUCAGUAAUCUUGUAUCUUGACACGAAGCUACUCUGAGAUGAUUGAGUUCAUUUUCCAUUUACUGUUUCGGGAGAAGGAAAGGUUCUUAGUGUCAAGUCGGAAUAUGUGCCUUGUUGUCGUGGGAUCUUAUAGGGAGAGAAGAAAAAUAGAAUUUUUAGAGAAGUGGAAAGGGUUCCCAGUGUUGUUUGGACAUUACUGACAAUUGUUUUUUGUAACUACUCAUUAAGUUUUUUUUUUUUUUUUAUGAAAACAACUUUCAUUGAGAAAAAACGAAAGAAUACGAGGGCAUAAAAAAACAAUCCUCCCAAAACACCCCAACUAAACGAAGAGGUUCCAAGUAAGUAAAAUGUUACGAGUGAAUAGUUAUAAAAAAGUUUCAAAACCGAAGCCCAAAAGGGCACAUGAAAUCUAACUAAGGACCAAACAUACAAGGGUCCCUAUCCCUCGCUCUAAAAUCUCUAUUAUUCAUCUCCCCCCAAAUAUCCCGUAACACAUCACACACCCUCACAAACCACAGAAACUGACAUUUGUCUCCGAAAGGUGGAUGGAGGAGGAAUUCCACAAUCACAACACGAACGUCACAAUGGUCGGCUAGCCAAACCUUGAACUCCUGCAAAGUAAAACUCCACACCACUUGAGCAAUACUGACAACCCCAUGGAAGACAAUCAAAGGCCUCCUCCGCUUUCUGUCAAAGGCCCUGCACGCAAGGUCCUUCUCCUAACGAGCCUUUCUAAGGUGUUCAGCUGACCCAGCAAGACUUGCCACGUAAAGUCUAACUUUCUUAGGAAUCUUAAUCCUCCAAACCACAUAAAAAAUAGACUCCUUAAAUGGGGUGGGAUUCGACAACAAUCUGAAAUAGGCUUUACAAGAAACGCUAUCACGAAGGUUUGAACUCCAAAUACGAACAUCCCUCCUCCCCAACCUAUACGUGGACUCCUUCAAAAGAGAAAGGAGGGUAGCAACCUUCAUUGUCUCCCUAUGGAUUAAAUGACGACGAAACUCGAAAGAAAAAGACACAACUCUUAAACCAACUCAAAAAUUCGAGAUCAGACAGUUCUUUAAGGAAGACAAAUGAUAAUGAUGCGGUAAUGUAGAAGAAAGGGAAUUGUCUCACACCCAAAAAUAAGUGUCCCUACCAUCCUCCACAAUACACAACAAAAGGAGAAAAAGAGGGCAGCUCAAGAGAAAUGUCUCUCCACAGAAUCCAGUGUGUGCCUUUAACCCCUUUCUCCACCAAAUCAAAAGGAUGGUUACCAUGUUUAUGCGCAAUAAUCCGAUGCAACAAAGAUUCGGGCUCGAGGGCAAAACGCCAAAACCGCUCAGCCAACAAGGCUCUAUUUCUAAUCCUUAGGUUGCCAAUUUUCAACCCUACUUAGUUAAUAGAGCGUCCCAACGCCUCCUAACUGAACAAGUGAGAAUCCUUCCCUUCCUCCCCUCCUUCCCAAAGAAAGUCUCUCAAACACUUUUCCAAGCACUUGAAACCGAGCUAAGCACCUUAAAGAGGGACAAAAAUACACGGCAAUACCACUAAGCACCAAUCUUAUCAAAGUAAGCCUUCCUACUUUGGAGAAAAAACAUUUCUUCCAUAAGUCUUCUUUUGUUUGCUUAAAGCCCCUUUCUUUAGGGAUGCUUUUAUGGGCUGGUUUUUCUUUUAGUUUUUUCAAUAAAAAGCUAGAAUACUAUCAAGAAGAAGACUUCUCACUUGCAUUUUAUAACUGCCAAUUGAACCACUUUUUUUGUAUGCUUUAUUGCAGCUCGGAAGAACUCAUAUAUUGUCCUAUUUUUUGUAGUAGAGCUUCGUUAAUAUGAUUGCAGCCUUACAGGUUUCUUAUUUCUUUCAAUAAAGAUAUACUGCAUUUGAUAAACAAUAUUUCAUUACCAGCGUUACUUAGCAUGAUAAAGAGGGCCAAAAAGCAUAAUUCAUAAGCUGAUGCAACGGAACAUGAAUGAAUGGAUGAACCUGGACAACAGGAGACCCUUAACAUCCAUUAAUUGAUCACCCUCUGAUUUUAUACACCACCUUCCAUCAACAAUUUCCACUUCCUAAGCCAAAAUUGUAGCAGUGUCAUUAGUAAGAUAAAUAAUCAGUCCACUAACUUCCAUAUGUUUUUUAUCAUUAUAAAUUAACAUUCAUUUGAAAACAAACAAAUGAGUCAAUACUUAAUACAAGUCCAAUCAGAUGCUUCUUACCAAAAAGGAAGUUCCACUCUUUGCACUCCUAACUAGGCUGUCCAUUAACUGAGAUAACUGUACAUAAAGAAAUGAUGUUGAAUUUAGUAAUAGGAAGUGCACAUAUAGCAUCCAGCUCAUAGAAAAUUUUAUUAUUGAAUCAAAAGCAGCAGCAUGAUAUUAUGAAUCUUAGUAGCAGGCAACUUUCAAUAUGAAAACAAGGGAUGUAGGGCAUCUGUUCUUGAGAUUCUUUUCUGAUUCUUGUUAGUUGUUGGAAACUUUCUUGAGUUCUAUAAAAGAUGUUCUAUUUAGUUUUUUCUUGCUGGCCUUUUCCUUUAUGUUUUUAGUAUUAAGACGGGCACUUAUAGCAUCCAGCUCAUAGAAAAUUUUAUUAUUUGAAUCAAAGGCAGCAGCAUGAUAUUACGAAUCUCAUUAGCAGGCAACUUACAAUAUGAAAAACAAGGCUAGCUCGGGCCAUCUCUUAUUGAAAUUCUUUUCUGACACUUGUUAGUUAUUGGAAACUUUCUUGAGUUCUAUAAAAGAUGUUGAAGGAGAAGGAAACCCCCGGAAUGUAAGCAUUUCAAUUCUUAAGGCAAAUAAAAACUAAAGAUUACUCCCAAAGUUUUUUAAAGCUCAAAACCACAAAAGCAAACAAUAUAAACAUAUACCAAUGUUGUAGCCCAACACUUACACUCAUUGUCAUUCAUCAAAUAUAACUAAACCUUAUGCCAAAAUAAUUAACAAAUCCCUGUACAACAAAGCUUACUCAAAACUUCAAUAAAAGCAAAAUAAACAUCACCUUUUUUUCAAGCUUGCGAACUUGAUCUCGAGAUUCUCUUAAGGCAUAGCUCUAGUUAAGAGAGAGGGAGAGAGAGAGAGAGAGAUCAUGGAUCAUGAUAAAUUAAGAAAAAUAAAAUAAAUAAAUAACAGAUGCUCUCAAAUUUACAUACUUAAAUGUUAAUAUAUUUUCUCCAUAAACGAAAUAUGAAGGAAAUAGUAUGAAUAACCAAAUGAAAUUAAAACAUGAAGAUGAGUGUUUAAGACAAAAUUAUUAGGAUUCUAAAUGCAAAAAGCAUAUGUAAGUAACAAAAUCAAAACCAGCAAGUUUAUAAGGAGCAAACCGCAGAAUCUUUGACCGAGCCAUCUUCAUCUACAGCAUUCAGUAUCAGUUUAAUCAAUGAUUGAUUUACAACCAUUCCCAUUAUCUACAAUCAAGGUUUAAAUAAGAUGUCACAUUAUAUAACAGACUAGAGCAGUGGUUUAAGGUCAUACCCAGAUACUUAUUUACCACGUUUGUUAGAGGCAUAAAACGUGUAGACCAAUCAACAUCUUCUUUGAUUGCUGUUUUCAAAUUAAAUUGCAACAUAUCAGCAAACUGUAGAAGAGCUGCAAUAGCUAUUGCUUCAUUUCCAUCCAUUGCUAGACUCCUUUGAGCAUGUUCUAUUGCCGAUUUCACCUUUAACAAACAAGACAAAGCACUUUGAAGAAGAAAGGAGUAAUUACAGAAUUGCAAGGUAGCGGAUUCUUCUCCUAUGUCAAUAGAUCUGUACAAAACUUUGUGGAGAUAUAAAUGCCAAAAUAAAAUCAGUAUCUGUUCUUGGAUUUGCUCGAUUGUUAUCUGAAUACAGCUGAUGUGCUUCAGAGGAAGCUUCCUACUUCAUGUCUUUUGCCUCCUAUUUGCUGUUUUUGCCAUGCGGAAGGGGAAUCUCAAUCAUAUAUUUUGUGAAAGUUCUUUCUCAACAGCUUGUUAGUUUGACCGUCAUUUAUUCCUAGUCUUGUUAGAGUUUGUUUCUAUGUUUCUUAUUGAGUUGUAAUGGCUGUGCUUAGCCCCCAAUUGGACUUUAUUUGUUGUUUGAUCAUUUAUUUUGUUGGAUAUGAUGAGGGUGCUAAGGGGUACAACCUAGUUGAGAUGCUCAGGUAUUGUUUGGUUUGUCUUGUUUGCUCAUUGUCUAAUCCUCUUGUACUAGCUUUUGUCUCAUUGUUUAUCAAUAAACGAGGUUGUUUCCUUUUCAAAAAUAAAAAACAGCUUGUUGGUACAAACUACUCAGUAUCUUCAAUUUGCAGUGGAUGUUUUAUCCGACAGCCAAGAGUAUUGGUUUCCAGUUUUAUUGGGCUUGUCUUUACCUUCAAGGCCUCAUUUAUGGAUCAGUGCAGUCAAAUGUUGUUCUUUAAUAGAUCGAUUUGGUUCUUCUCAUCUUAAAAGCUUCAUCAUGGUGAUGUUUUCUUCCCAAAACCUCCAAUGCUUUCUUUUUGCACUAUAUUUGUUUUAUUUUUCUUCUUCUUUGUGUUUUUCUGCACUAUGUUUGUUUGAAUUAAAAUGCCUUCACACGCCUUUAGUACUUUUCCUUUUACUAUAAGAGUUUGCAUCUUUUUAGUAUCAUUUUUUGUUUAAGAGAAUGAAAAUACAAUAACAACAACAACAAGAGAGUGACAUGAGUAACAACUUUUAGUUUUUGUUUUUUCCGGAAACAAUGUGAAAAAACACUAUGAUUUUGAAAAGAAAUAAAAUAUUAUAUUUCUCUUAUAGUUUAUGAAUCAAACACAAGAUCUUCUUAGACAAGGUGAAAAUCAUCCACCAAUAAAGUAAAAAGGAACAUAUAAAUUUAAAAAAUAUAGACAAUGCAAACAAUGCAAAAAAGAAAUAAUAUACAACUCAUGCUUACAAUAUAAAAUGAAAAUCCAACACUGCCCAUGUUGGAGCCUUUUGGGUAGUUAACGGAUUGUAUAGGCUGCUGGUAUUCAUUAUCUUUUGUGUUGAUAUUUUCUUUUUAUAGUUCGCUACCUUCAGUUACGAUUAGUUGUAGUAUAGGUGUGAUCAAGCCCUUCCUCUUUAGGUACAUUUAAAGGGUUAAUUUUCAUAUAACGGAUAUAACAAAAUUGCUAAGUUUUCUAAAGUUGGUUUUCAAGAUGGCUUUAAUAUUCAGCUCAAAUGAUGAAACAAAUUAUGGUUAGACCUUUUCAGGAAGAAGAUAUGCUUUCACCGAAUAACCAACUUUUGCAGUCGGCUUGUAGACCAGUUUGUCAAAUUGUCAUUUUUAAAGACUUAGUCUAUAUAUAGAAAAACCCAAAAGGGCAGGUUAGGAGAUUGAAGGUAAUUCGGUUGCCUUGCCUCUUGAGCACUGCAUUACUGAGGUAGGUGAGCAAAAUUAAUUAAAUUCUUUGGAUGAAUAUUCAGUAAUGGUGUCUUUGUCCUCUUCACUUCCCUUAGUUAAAAAAGACAAAGAGGCACCUACAAGUCAGUACAGCGUUUGACUGUUGAUAUCUCCAGAUUGAACUCUUUAUUGGCCAUCAAAGAAGUUAAAGACAAAAUACUGAUUCAUUGAAACUUCAACAUUUUGUACAAGGAAAAAACGUUCUUACCUUCCCAUCUUCUCAAAUUUCAGAUGAUUUCACAGUGGUAAAAAGGGAAAAUAAGUGAAUGCACUAACCAGAUGAAGGUUGACGCCACUUAAAUCUAAGCUGCAGCCACCAUGCUUGUGCAUUUCUACUGCCGCAUUAGUCUCAUCCAAAAGUCUAAGGCUUUCUUCAUAUGUCCAGUUCGAAGACCAAAGUUGGGCCUGUUCAUUUAACAAUAAAGUGAAUCAAAACUGCUUUAAAUGGAGCAUAAAGAAAUUUACUAUUGUAAUUAUAGAAAAUCAAGCUAAAAUUAUGCAGCUGUAAAUUAGAUAAUUAAUUUAGACUAUUUCUUUGUAUCAUGUAAUUUUUUCGCAUUCCUUAUUAAAUUUAAGUCUUCAACUGCCUCAUUUGUGUUCACACGUGCUUGGUUUGACUCCAUUUCUUCUUCUUCAGGUCGUCGAGACUAGCCAUUAAGAUACGUGCUUUCAAAAAAUCUAGGACAUAAUGUAUUUUUGGUCUUUGAGGUUUGAAGCUGAUGUCUAUUUGGUCUCUGAAGUUUCAAAAUGAACACUUUAGUCCUUGAGGUUUGAGAAAUAAUUCUAAAUGGUCUCUGAAGUCACAUUGAUCGUUAGUUGACUAACGGAAAAAUGAUAUGGGGUUAAAUAUAAUUAAUCAGCAAACUCAUUUGGCAAAAAUGAUUAUAAUAUUGAACUUUUUUUUUAUGAUGUGGCAUCCAACCUCACUCUCUUCUUCCACCUCCCAUCACUGUGUUAAAAAAAAAAUUGUUGUCCCUGUUGUUAAUGAAGAACAAAGAUGAAUUUAACCAUCGUCUUUCUCCAAAUCCCAUCACUAUGUUGCAAAAAAAAAUUCUUGUCCCUGUUGUUGCACCAAUUGUGGUUAGCUCUAUAAAUAUAUUGAAGAAAAAGAAGAAAUUAUGCAGAUAUACAGGGAAAUAACAUAUUCUAGUUUUCUAAAUCAGAAAUAAACUCCUGCAAUUCUAAUUAAGACGAUCGGCAAAUUGCUUGAGAAGCGAGUCCAUGACGAACUUGUAAGCUGCUUCAGUGGGAUGGAUGCUAUCCCAAAACAUGAGUUUUGAUGGGUUUUCACAUAUUGUACUUGUUUCAAUGUUACAUAGAGGUCCUGCUUCUGCCAUCCCAGUACCACAGGGCACAGCAGCCUGCGUUAACGUGUGCAAAACCUGUUCGACAAAAUGCCCCAAUGAUAAAAUUCAGGUAAAGAUGUGAUUUGAUACUUGGUUGUCCUUAAAUGAUUUAUUGGCUUGCUGUAAUUGUGAGGAUCACUGACCAUGUCCAUGAGGGGAGUGUAAAUGUCACCAUAUAGAAUUGUGCUUCCAGGAAGUUGUGGCUUUUCUUCAUUAGUCCUCAAGGUUAAAUUCAUCUUUGUUCUUCAUUAGCAACAACAGGGACAACAACAAAAAUUUGCAGCAUAGUGAUGGGAGGUUGAAGAAAGGGUGAGGAGAGGGAUGCCACAUAAUAAAAAAAGUUCAAUAUUAUAAUCAUUUUUGCCAAAUCAGUUUGGUGAUUAAUUAUAUUUGACUGCCACUUCAUGGUUUCAUUAGUUGUGACUUCAAGAACCAUUUAGAAGUACAACUUCGUGAACUAAAUUGUUCAUUUUAAAACUCGAGACAAGUAGACAUCAACUUAAAACCUUAAGACCAAAAGUUCAUUUUCGCUAAAAAUGAAGUCUAGUUAAGGAAAAUUCCCCAUAGGAUUCCUGAGAAACGGACUCAAGCAGACUAGCCCAUUGAGAAGCAUGCUCUCAAAAACUCUGCGAAGCCUAAUCAAACAGAACUACGCAAAAACUGAACCAGUGCAGGAGUGAGAAAAAAUCACGCACCACCAAGCUUUAGGGAUCGGAACCAAAAAUAAGCUUCAAAUUUACCUCCUCUUCUUACACCCAACACAGAGAAACCACGGCCAGAAAAGGUUCAAGAUCUCCAAUCUACUCUUUCUAAGUUGUUUUAUCAUUUUCUCUCGUAUCUUUUCUUCGUCAAUGAAAAUAAUUUAUUUCCUUUUCCAACAACAUCAAAGAAACAAACAAGCUUAUACCUUGCUCCUAUACUUCUUCCCACAACAAAAUUAAACUCACCACUCAACCUCCAGUUUGAGGGGUUAUAACAGAGCAAUUGCUUGAAUGAAAUUUUGUAGCAGUUGAUAUUUUUAGAUUCGGAUUUUUUUUUUUCAAUCGGUUAGUUAUGAUGGUAUCCAACUUUCAGGAAUUAGUUUGGCCUUGCUAGGUAGUAGGUAACAUGCAUUCAAUCCUAUAAAUCAAAAGGUGAAGCAGUGUUCUUCAUAGGAGAAGUAGAAGCAUGGCCAAGAAAAUGAGAACUUAGCUGCGAUACAGACCUUGAUAGCUUGACGCCCCAGAGAAGUGCGGGCGAAGGAAGCAACUGAAUCGCAAAGUUUAUCCCAUUCUAGCGCUCUGAGACUGUCCAGGCGGAUUGAAUGUUGGGUUGUGUUAUCUCUAAUGUCAUUGCUGACGGAAAUGUUUGCAGAGAGGGAGAAAUGUAGGGACGCAGUUCGAUUCCGGAAUAUAACCGGCACCUGCAGUGGCAGUGUAGAAUAACUGAUCCAGGUCCAGGUGAGGGGAUGCCGGAGAAAACAGAGCAUCGUUUUACCCUUCCUUUCCUUGCACCUACGAGGACGAGAGUGCUAUGUCCUGACAAACUCACCACUCCCGCUAAUACCUACCUAUCUCUACGUUCCAACGCUGAUACCACAUCUACUUUGCAUUCUACUAUUGAUUUUCUACUCCCAAAAAAUAUAUUCUGAUAAAUUGUACCCAUAAUUCAAAAUUUAAAAAAAAAACCAAUCGAAAAUUGAUUUUUCACCUGCUUUCUAAAGUUUAGUUUUUUUUAUUCUACUAUAUUAGGAUGAUGGUACCUUUUUCCCUUCUAAGAAAUCUACGGUAUAUGUAUUAGGGGUGUUCGCAAUUCGAUUUGAUUUGAAGCUAAAAUCGCACCGAAUAGCUUAUUUGUGUCAAAUCAAAUGGAAAUCGAACCGAAGCAAAACCACUUAUGCAUAAAUAAAAUCGAAGCAAAACCAAAUCGUUUAUGCAUAAAUAUUAUAAUUAAAAUCCUUUAUGAACAUUGUACAUAAAUAAAAGUUUUACAAAGUUUCAAACAUGGAUUAAAUUAAUUCCUAUAAUGUUACAAGCAUAUAAGUUUCAAAUAUUGAAGUUUGAAAGUCCAUCAAAACAUUGAAAUUUCAAAGUCCACCUAACAUAAUAUAAUAGUUCUACGGUUAUACAAACUUUCUUUACGUUCUUAUUCUUCUCAUUCCUCUCCUUGAUUUUUUUCUCUAUACCCGCUUGGAAGUCUUAAAAAAGUUUUAUUAUUAACAUAGUAAUGGCAUAAUCAAUAUAUUUGAAUUAUGAAUUAUACAAAUUAAUUAGAAAGAAUGUUCUAUAGAUACGAACCUUUUUCAACUAUUGCAAUCCCCUCCAAGUUUUUUUUUUUAAGAUCAAUAGAUUCAAUAUUAAUUGUUUUUGAACGUAGCCAAUUUUGUCCACAUACAAGUGCCUCAACUGUGGUUGGAGCUAACGUGGAACGAAAUGAAUCAAUCACUCGUACAAACUUCAUCAAGACAACUUCUUUACAUUCUUGUUCUUCUCCUUCUUCUCCUUCUCGUUCAUCUCCUUGACUUUUGCCCCUAUACCCGCUUUGAAGUCUAAAAAAAUCUUAUUAUUAACAUAGUAAUGACAUAAUCAAUAUAUUUAAAUUUUGAAGUAUACAAAUUAAUUAGAAAUAAAGUUCUAUAGAUACGGACCUUCUUCAACCGUUGCAAUGUCCUCAAAGUAUUUUUUUUUUUAAGAUGAAUAGAUUCAAUAUUAAUUGCUUUUAAACGUAGCCAAUUUUGCGCGCAUAUGAGCGCCUCAACUGUGGUUGGAGCUAACAUGGAACGAAAGAAAUCAAUCACUAUGCCACUAGUACUAAAUGAAGACUUAGAAGCAACUAUGGAUAUCAGAAUUGCUAAAAUAUCUCUUGCAAUUCGACUAAAAACCUUAUAUCUUGAAGAAUUUCCUUUCCACCACUCUAAGAUAUCAAAGUUCUCCUCAUGUGCAAUACGAUAGUCCAAUAAGUAAAUAUCAACUUAUGUAUCCACACUUAGGACAUCCUCUUCAUCCAUAUUUUCAAAAUGGAUACGAAAAACGUCUGAAGCAUAAGAAGAAGUUCUAGAUGUAGCGGAAGUAGUUAUAGAUGUACUGAAAGAGUUGCUACUACUAGUAGUAGCACUAUAAACUGAAGGUUGACUCAUAUAUGUACAAUCCUUAAACACUUGAAAUUGAGAUGAUGCAAUCGGGCUUGAAGAUGAUUCAUGGCUAUGAUAGUUUAAAGAAUAUUCACUAAAAAAUCUUCUCAAAACAGAUUUCACCUUAUUCCCCACUUCUUUUGUUGUACCCAUGUCAAAUAAUUGAGUCAAAGAAUACAUAAGAGAUUUUAUCUUGUAACGUGGAUCCAAAACAAAAGCAGUAUAAAAAAAGAAAUUUGUUUUUGCGAUCUUCCCCUAAUACUUAUCGUACUUCUCUUGCAUUUUCAAAGUCAUGUCAUGCAAUAACUUAUUAUCAGGACCACCUACACUUGCAUGUUCUUUUAUGCAAUUCUGGACAAUACUAAUCUCAUGGAAGAUAGUGUUGGAAGUAACAUAAAUAGACCUUGAAAGCCUAAUAGUUACUUCAUAGAAAACAGACAAAAAUUUGAUAAAUAUUCUUGCAAUUUUCCAAUCUCUAGAAUUUGAUAAAUAUUCUUACAAUUAAAUUCAAUAUAUAUAUGCAACAACACCUAACAUGCAUGAAAUCCUCAUCUAACACAAAUGCAUGUUUGAAACAUUUCUUUAGAUAAGCAAUAGUUGUAUCAUUUGAUGAAUCAUUAUCAAUGGUUAAGGUCAAUACCUUAUCAAUACCCCAAUGUUUCAAACAUUUUUCCACCUCUCUUCCUAUUGUUUCCCCUUUAUGAUUUUCAAUAUAAGAGAUAUUAAUUAUUCUCUUAUGAAGUUUCCAACUUCUAUCAACAAAGUGUGAAGUCAAAACCAUAUAAUUAACAUUUUGAAUUUACGUCCAAGUAUCAAACAUAAAUGGAACUCUAUAUUCUUCAUUCACAAAAACAUCUUUCAGCAGUUCUCCCAAGUUAACAUAUCUUUUCCAAAAUAUCUAUAGCAAUUGUAGUUCGAGAAUGAAUAAUAAAACUUGGUUCUACUAACAUCAAAGUUCCUUCAAUAAACUUUCUAAAUAUCUCAUUCUCCAUAAAUCUAAAGGACAACUCGUCGACUAUGAUCAUCAGAGCAAUUUGUCUUCAAGCAUUCUCAAUGGUAAAUAUCUUAUAAUUAUUUUUUUUACUGUCCCCAUCAUUGUCUUUAUUUAGAAAUACUAACUUUGUUUGAGUUAUAUCUACUUUAUUGUCUUUCAAUUGAUAAGGAUUUUUUUAUAGUAAUGGUCAAGAUGUGUCCUCAUAGUUGAAUUUCUAUUCCUUCUUAGAUGGCAUGCAUACACCACAUUACAAUAAUUGAAAUUAUCAUGUGAAUCAUCAUCACUAUAUUCAGAACAUUUAGUAAAAUUAUAUCAUACCAUAGAAGUAUUUUUCCUCUUCUUUCGAGAUGGUUGGAGUUCUGGUGGUGGCACGAUAACCUCAAUAACGACAUCAUUUUCAUUCACACUAGAACAAUUAUUGCUAUUGCUUAUGGUGUUCGAUUUAGUGUCUGUGUUUUCAUUGUUAUUGUCAUCGAUCAAACUUGUUGACAUUCUGCCUACGCCUACAAUAGGGAUAAAAAGGUCUUUAAUUAGUAUGGAAAAAAAUGUCUUUUAUUAGCAUGAAAAAUAUAAACAUCUUACACUUGAGUUAUCUGCACCAAUGAAACAGUCUCCAUUGAAUAGUAUCCACGAUUUGCACCAAUGAAACAUUGAUUAAUGAUAAUGAGUAAACAAUAACUUAUUCCAAACAAAUAGAAAGUCCUUAUAGUCAGAAGUCCCCAUAAAUAGAGGGGUCGAGAAAAAGAUUAAGCAGGCAGCAGAAUGGGGUGAAGCAGAUAAUGUUUCUUCGAAGUGAAGAAGUGUCAAGCUAGAAUAGGCGUAGGCUUUUGAGUAUGAGAUUGAAGGGAUAAAAGCCCUAGGCAGCAUAAUGCUUUACAUAACCAUUUCUCAAUUUAAUUUGGGAAUCUCAAAGUACCAAUACAUGGCAAAAUAAUAUACAAACUAAUUUUUUUUACUAUAACUUAAAGGCUAAGCAUUCUUUCUAACUAUAGAUUAGAGAGAUAACAUACUUAAAACAUAACUAUACUUAACUUCUCAGAACUCUUUUUUGUUUUAUUUUACUAGGUCAUUCUCCACCCAGAGUUAUUUUUGGUUCAUUCACUUAAUAAUAUAUAGUACCUUGAUCUCUUGGUUGACUUGAACUCACCAAAGGACGAUUUUUUGCAAAAUGUCCUGAUUUCUUACAUCAAAAGCAAAUGUCUCCUCCUUUGAGACAUUGUCCAAGAUGAUCUUUGUUGCAUUCUCUACAAAGAGGUUUACUGUUGCUGCUUGCAACCAUCUUCUGGUAACCUCUUCUUGAGUUUUGAGAUCAAAACGAGCUUCCUUUUCUAAGUCCACUCUUAAAAUUAUUUUCUUUCAAUACUCCUAGGCCGAAGCUCUUUUUGUUUUCUUGUUUCACUCCAUCAUAACUCAUUUUUAAUCAAAAUGAGAAUCCAUAACAUCAAACUUCCUUGAUGAUAAACUUUGUUUCACUUGUAAUGCAAUUUCAAUCAAAUGUGAGAAAUCCUCCCACUUUGAUGUUGAUGUUACUGAAGUCUGAAUUUUCUGUCUAAGCCCAUUCUCGAAUUGUCGGCAUCUAUCACUUUCAGAUGCCACAAUUGGUCCAAUUUAACGAUAGAGUUUCAUAAAUUUCCUAUUGUACUCAACUAUUGUUAAUAAAUUUUGCUUUAAUUUUAGAAAUUCAUUCCUUUUUGUUUCACAAUAGAUCUUUGUAUAAUAUUUAUCUUCAAAUAUUCCUCAAAAUACUAUCCAACUCAUAGUAUGUGUAUCUCUUCUUCUAGCUUUAAUUGAAUCCCACCAUCCUUCUGCUUCCUUUUACAGUAGGAAGGUUGCUAACUUAAAUUUCUUCUCUUCGGGGCAAUCCAUCACCUUAAAACACUUUUCUAAUAGAUUCAAUCACACUUCUACGUCAGCCAAAUUUGUGCCUCCUUAAAAAAUCGUUGCACCUAAAGAUUUCAAUCUUUCGAUGUUAUGUUUCUUAUCAGACCUAAUUUGCAUUGUUCCCAUUGACUCCAUAACUUCUUGGAACGUCUGCUGGUAGCUUUAAUCAUCCAUUCCAUCUUGUCUCGUACUUCAUUCAUCUUUAAUCAUCCAUUUAUAGCUUAUGCAUAACACACACACACAUAUAUGUUUAUAGCUUAUGCAUAACACACACACACAUAUGUUUAUAGCUUAUGCAUAACACUUUAAACUUUCAAUCUUAGUUCAGCUAUCAUAUUUUAAUAAACAACAAGUAAGUAACAAACAUACUUUUUAUUUAUUAAUUUCAUAAGCUUUCCUUACAUACAUAAGCACAGAUAAUAUACAAUUGAUUUACAUAAGCGCACAAGAAACAUACACUUUUUACAUCUUUUUACAUUUAUUUCAUUCUCUUUUUCUUUCAGAUAACCUAAUGAAGUUUAUCUUUUCCCUUAAUUGAUGUCGCUACUUGCGUCUAAUAGAUGGAGCUACAGAUAUUACUCUCAUCUCUACUUGUCUAUCCAAACUAAAUGCUAAAGAGUUGUUCUUAUGUUGUUCUAUUUGAUGGUAGUAAUAACAUGAAACUUUAUCGAUAUUACACUUAUCCCUAUGAAACCACUUACACUUAUAACACUGCUUCUUUCUCUUUAAUUAUGAAAUAACUUCUCCUUCUUCAAAACAAGAUCCUACUGACUCUUGUUUGCUUUCUUCCUCCAUCUCUCUCAAUCUCACCUUUCUAUAGUGUUUGAAAAAGUAUUGUCUUCCAAACAUACUUUGGAAUACAUCCCAAUCCUGUUUGGCUUUUUCAGUCAAAUCUUCCUUUAAUGAGAACCACUAUUAUUUUGCAUUGUCAAUAAGCAUAGAUUCUACUAAUGUUACCUUUAUAUCAUCCUCACAACUAAUUAUUUCAAGGCACUCUCUCACCCUAUGCAUCCAUUCCUCAACUUUCGUAGGGUAGAUUGAACAACCCUACUUUUCUACUCCAUAAAGUUCUAGUCAUCCUCUUACAUUAUUGUUUUCCAUGGAUUUGUGAGUAACAAAUAUUUUCUUGUUUUAAUGCUUGAAAUAAUAAUAGAGAAUACUUACAUGGAUUUUUGAAGAGAUUGUGUCUCGAUUGCUGCUUACAUAUGUUGCUUGCAAGACAAGUUUUAUUGAAAAUUCAUUUUAUAAAUUAUUUGUUUUCUAUUUUAUAGGAAAUAACUUUUUAAAACAAAUUUUGACUUUUAGCGCUUUGCUUCCUAGGAACUUUAUUGCUUUGAUACCAAGUUGUCACAUCAUACCACGUCUUGGCCCAAAAUGCAGGUGCCUGGGGUGAGGUGUGACAAUAGGUCAAGAAGGGAACUUGUUAAGGGAGUACUAAAGUGCGGACUUUAACGAUCGAAAGGUGCUCAAUGCUUCUGAAGAGUGGCGAACGUUUGGUCGUUGUUAGAAACCACAAAAAUGCAUUCUCCGCAUAGAAAAUGCGACGAGUUUAAGAACUUUUGGUGCUGGUCCCAUAAAGAGGUCAAUGUCUAUGCCCUAGACUCAGUUUUUAUCUUGGGGUCAGAAGUGGUCAUUACCAAUUUCAUUAACUUGUCUUGGUCUAAAGCCUUUACAACUUCGAGAUUCUUUGAACAAGGACUUCCUUUUACAUUCCUAGCAUGGUUGAUUCCACAUUUACCCAAAGUAUAGGUUGAGAAGCGAGCUCGUUGGGGGAGAACUAAGGUAUAGACCAAAAGGAUCGAAAAGGUGGCCAAUGCUUCCUAAGAGUGGCAAACAUUUGGCUUGUGUCAAAAACUACCGAAAAUGCAUUACCCACAAAGAAAUUGGGAUGAGUUUAAGAACUUCAGUUUCGAUCCUAACAAAAAGAUCAACGACUAUGACCCAGACUCGAUUUUUAUUUUGGGGUCAGUAGAGGUCCUUUAACUAUUUCUUUGUUUUUUCUUGGUCUAAAGCCUUUCCAGCUAUGAGAUUCUAUGACCAAGGACUUCUAUCUACAUUCCUUGCAUGCUCCUUCCACAUUUACCCAAAGUAGAAGUCAGGAAGCAAGCUCGUUGGGGGAGUACUUAAUACGAAUCAAGCAACCAAAAUUUAAUCAAAUGAAAAAGUUGAAGAGAUGCAAUGGUUGGAAGUUGAAGAGUUAUUUUGGCAACCCAAAAUCAUAAUAUUAAAUGUUCAAGGAAUUAUGUAUUUAUGUGUUUUCAAUUAUAAUGGCAGUUGAAAGGACAUGAAAUUAAAUGUCGUUACCUUUCAUUUCAUAUUUUAAUUAGUAUAAAUAGGGUUGUAAUUUCCACAUUUUAAAAAAGAAGAAUUUGGGAUGAAUGGAAUAUGAAAAUUCUAGUAUGUUAAAUUUUAUUCUUGUGUGUUCUUGUGAUAGAAUGCACAAAUAUUUGGAGCAUUCAAGUGAGAUUUGAUCUACCUUACCUGUGGAGUGUUUUGAAGAUCGAGGGUUGAUGGAAGUUUCUAACUUUAUUCGAUCAUUGGUUUCUUAGAUCAUCUAAGCAAUAUGUUUCUAGGCUAUCUUAGGGGUUGAAAUCAAAUUGAUUUUGGAGCUGUUGGGGUUGUAUUCUUUGAGUCUUCUUGUUUAACAUGGUUCUUAGAACCCAUGCUCAGGGGUUUCAUAUCAGUACUAAGGUGCAAACCAAAACAAUCGAAAAGGUGGCAAUGCAAGAAAGUGGCAAACAGUUGACCAAUGUCAGAAACUACUAAAAAUUCAUUUUCCACAAAGAAAAUGAGAUGAGUUUAAGAACUUGUGGUGUUGGCCCCAAAAAAUGCGAACGCCUAUGCCCCAUAUAGUUUUUAUCUUGAGCUCAGAAGUUGUUCUCUAACAGUUUCUUUGUCUAAAGCCUUUCCAGCUACAAAAUUCUAUGAACAAGGACUUUUGUCACCAUUUCUAGCAUGGUCCUUUCCACAUUUACCCAAAGUUAUGUCAGGAAGCAAGCUUGUUAGGGGUGUACUAAGGUGCGGACCAAAAAGAUGGAAAAGGUAGUCAAUGCUUCCAAAUAGUGGCGAAGGUUUCGUCAGUGUCAGAAACAAUCGUAAAUGCAUUCCUCUCACAGAAAAUGGGACGAGUUUAAGAACUUUUGGUUUCGAUCCCAAGAAAAGGUCAACGACUAUGUCUCAGACUCAGUUUUUAUUGUUGGGUCAAUAGUGGUCCUUUAAGUAUUUCUUUGUUUUGUCUUGGUCUAAAGCGUUUUCAGCUAUGAGAAGCAAAUACUUUUUUAAAGUCAAGAAAGACUUGAUUUUCAAUACUUUUUUUUAUCUUGAAUCACUUCCAAUAAAGUUAUUUAAGUUUUUCAAACCUAAAUUUUAUUACUCAAUCAUACAUAGAUACUUUAUCCACAAUUCAUGAAAUGACGAAAAGAUUUGUGAUGAAGAUCAAUUUGAAGAGAGAACGUCUAAUUCACUUAAAUACGAAAUAAUAAUUCUAAAAAUAAAUUUCUUUUAAGAACUCACGAAUGUUUUGCGAGAGCUCAAUAUUUUACUGCUCACGUAAAAGUAAUACGAGUUUUACAAUUUUAGCUAUUUAGGUAUUUUUUUUCUUUACCUCAUUCUCUCCCGCGCGCAAGACCCUCCCCUCCGCCGUUUUUCCUCACACUCACAGAUCCCGCUCGGUGACCCUUCGCCCGUCCGCAGCUCUUCUCUUCGUUCACUCUCCCGUCGUUCGCACUUCGGUAAGUUCUUUUCUCUUUUCUUUCCUUUUUUUACUCUCCAAUUGUAAGAUAAUUGUUUUGAUGGGUUGUUGCUUAACUGCAUCAUUCAAAUUUGCUUUUGAUCUAAAUUUCUUUGCCAUGGUCGGAAGCUUUGAUCGGCUGGAACAGGGUAGUUUUGUUUAGAUGAGUAUCAUCCUUACUGGUUCUUUCAAGCUAUGGCCAACCUGGUGACCUUUUUGGUUCUUACUUUUGCAUACUAAGCUUUUCUUUUCAUCAAAUGUUUUUUCUAAACUUUAACUGGCGAUGGAAGAUUAUCAGGACUUUGUUUUUGGUUGGCCAUUUGACCAUUGGUGUGUGGCAGGCAAGAAAAACUGGUUGGCUGAGCAACAAUGCUUACACAUAUUUUUAGAGCAUUUUUUUUACAUUUAGUAUGCUUAUGUACCUAUAGUAUAGGGAUAUAUAUAUGAGAAUUUGAGCAAAGUUGUUUUAAAUAAUAAAUUUUGAACAAUUUUUUUUCUUUAAUUUUUCCGAAAGUUCCUCUCUUUGUGCUUAAACCUAUUUCACGUUAAACCCCCGCCCUCCCAUUACAUGCUACUCCCCCCUGCCGCACGAAUUUCCUAUCCAGAUAGUUUCUGAAUGUUUGAAUUUAUAGCAGCUUCAAGUUUAGAAGGGUUUAGGGUUUUCAAUCGCUGGACCAAGAUGAAGCAAGUAGUGGGGAUGGUGGUCUCAAACAAAAUGCAGAAAUCAGUUGUCGUUGCAGUGGACAGAUUGUUUUAUCACAAGCUCUAUAAUCGCUACGUUAAACGCACUUCCAAGUUCAUGGCUCAUGAUGAGAACAAUCAAUGCAAUAUUGGUGAUAGGGUGAGAAUUUAAUUCCAUCUUUACUUCCCCAAUUAAUUUGUUUUUCUUUAUUUCAAUUCACUUGAUCAAGUUGUGGACUCGAUGUAUAGUUUCAGUUAAAACAUCGUGCAAAUUUGUUCGACAUCACGGUAGUACUGGAUGAAAUGGAUAGCAUAUAGCAUGUUGUGGUGGUCGUUCUUUAUGUUUGAAGAGUUUAUUUGUUAAAUUACAUAUGCAUUAUGUUAAUUUAUAUAAUUCUUGUUUCAUUUUCAUUUCUCUUGAACAUGUGCUUGGGGUUUGUUAGUAUUUAACGUUUCUUGUUAAUUCACUGUUGAAACAAAUUGAAUUUUAUAACCUCAGGUUAAAUUAGAUCCUUCGAGGCCAUUGAGCAAGCAUAAACAUUGGGUGGUUGCUGAAAUUUUGAGGAAAGCAAGAAUUUACGAGCCACCAUCACAAGAUAAACAGUCUGUUUCAGACAAAAGCAAUGUUUCAGCUCCUUCAACCACUUAAGGUUUGAUUGAUACACUUGUUAUUUUCUUUUUAGAAAGCCAAACUUGUAUCUUAUUGAGUUCUGGAUCGUCCUGGGCGAUCAUAAUCACUUGAAUCUCUGAUGACUAUUUGCGGCAAUUCUUUGUUUCCAUUUAGAGUAUAUUGCAGUUGCACGUGAUUGUUAUUUAUUAGAAACUUUACUAGAAUACAUCUUUUUAUUGUUAUGUGAACAAUAUGUAUUACCAUCUUUCUUGAUGGCAUUGUAGGUUCAUGAGCAGUUCUUUUUUUUUUUUCUCGAUAUAAUCAAACAGCUUUCACUGAGAUAAAAAUGAAAGAAUACAAGGACAUACAAAAAAACCAGCCCACCAAGCCACCUAAGUAAAAUACUGUCUAUGGAGUAGUUACAAAAGUUCUUCGAAAUCGUAACCAAAAAAGACAUGAAAUCUAAUAAAGGACCAAAUUUCACUAAGAUCCCCCUCUCUCUCUUGGAACACCCCAUCAUUCCUCUUGCCCCAAAUGUCCCAAAUAACCGCGUACACGCUGACAAGUCAUAAAAAACCCCCUUUAUCUCUGAAAGGCGGAUGGAGGAGGAACUCCUCGAUCGUCGCUUUGAUGGUACGUAAACCAGCAAAGCUAACGCUGAACUCCAGAAGGAAGGAGCUCCACACGGCCCUCGCAAACUGGCAAUCCCAAGAAAGAUGAUCAAGAUCUUUCUCCGCCUUUUGACACAACAUGCAGCAAAAAGGUGCGACAAGGGAAGAUCUUCUCCUAACAAGCCUAUCAACAGUAUUAACCAAUAGACACAUAUAAUGUCUUUGUGGGCAACUAAGAUGCCCUUCCCAUUUGAAUCUCUUUGUUUGAAAUUUGAUGAUAACGUUGUCUUAUUUUUGCUGUAUGUUAAUGACUUGGUGCUUGUAGUGAACCAUGAAACACAUCUUGCCUUUUGAAAAUGCAGUUCAGAAAGUUUUGCUAGCUUAGAGCCUAGUAUUUUCUUUGCUUUAUUUUUCCUAUUAGGAGUUUAUUUCAUUUUCCUUUAAAUGUUUCUUCUAUCUUUUUGUUAUGAGGAGUUUGCAUCUUACCCAAAAAAGGGACAUAACGAUAGUAGUUCAUGGGGGUUCUUUCAUAAUGAUUGAUUUUAUGUUCAUUCUGCCCUCCAAUUGUUUGCAAACGCAUUGCAUUCAUUCACCCCCUUUUAUCUAUAUAAUUCAGUGUUUUGAUGAGCUAGUUGGCUGUCUUUAAAUACUCAUGGGUGAUUGUUCAAGAUUUUUAUUUGAAGUUUGAUUAAUAGGAUACUUGGUCUCCAGAAAGUCCUAUCUUGUUCCUAGCGAUUGUGGUUGGAUUGAGAUUAAAAACAUGUUUUCACGUAUCAUUUUAGAAUUACUAACCUUAAAAACCAGCAUGGAUUGGCUAAUGGCCAACAAGGGUGAAAGUAUAUACCUAAGAUUCGAAAUCAUACAAGUGUUUGCUCGGCAACCGAAUGCAGUAUGGUCAAAUGGUUCUAAGAGGAAACCUUCAACAUCACCGAGGAUUCUUUGGAGGUUUUAAGGGUGUGAUCGUAUCAGUGCUGGGUCUUGUGAAAAAAAUCAAAGUUAAAAAAGAAAAUAUAGUGGUUCUCUUACAGUGAAAAUAGGGUUUUCAAGGGUGCUGGUCCAAUAACAAUGUCCUUGGUUCCUAAGAGAGCUACAUGGUUAUUAUGGAGCCAUUUCAGUGGAUUUUUGUUGACAGAAGCUCCAUAUUGUUCAUUGAGUUCAAUACGCUAUGGGAACCUUUCAUUUUCAUUUACAAUGCAGAGAAGAAAGUUUCUCUGUUGUCCAAAGUUCCCUGAAAAAAUAAGAAAUGGAAAAUGGUUGAUUCAUGAAGUCAAAUCAAUAGACUUCUCAACUUUUGACCGUGUUUCUUUGAGGGGAAGAUGCAAGCAUCUGUAGCACCUUGAUUUCUUGGAAGUUGGAGGGUGCAAAGCAAACAUUUUCUCAAAGGAGGCUUUUAAGGUACUGUUGAAGAUUUUUUCAAAUCAUGGGACAUCUACUCAACAUAUAAAUAGUGACCAAUUUUGCCUCUAAUUAGUCUCCCUUUUGUACAUAGUGGUGUGAUUAAAUGGGAAAAAAGGGCCUUUAAUAAGACGGUAUUGCCCAUCAACUACCUCCAGGUAAAAGGUUCAAUUAGCUCCAUCUUUCAAGCCCAUUUGGUCUCUAUCUGGACUGGAGAAGGUUUUGUACCCUUUCAACUGCAAGAUCAUGUGGAUGAUUCCUAAUGCCUGUCUGUGUAGAAAUAGCCAUCAAUUAGUUGAGGCAUUAUAAUCUUAACCAACGGGUGUAGCCUGAUAAGUUCGAAUUCCACCUAUAUAUUAUUGAAUAUUUUCUUUUUUCUUUGUUUUAGUACGAAAGGGGUGGAGGUACGUGGGUUGGAACUUACCUUGAGAGGAGUGCAUAUUUAAUUAUGUGGUUUGCUUUAGUGAUUUUCAUGCUAGCUACCCUUUUGGGAGUUUGGUGGGAGAAUCUUCAAAGAUGAGUGAUCGGGAUUUAGGUGAAAUGAAUAAGGAAGAAAAUCUUUAAAGAUGAGUGAUUGAUGGAUGGUUUUAUAUUUCAUUAUUGUUUGUCUCUUCUUGUGCCUCGCCAGUUUUUUCAGUAACUGUUUUUUUUAUGGUUCAACCUAAUGGGUCAUGCAUGUAUAUAAUUUUUGUCAACUCAGAUAAGUUGACGCCCUCUCCCUUCUAUUAAUUUCUUUCAUCAAUGUAAAAAACUGCAAAUCUGUCUCGCAUUUAUGUAAAAACAUUUUCAAUAAUAUAUCUGUUUGCCUAACCAUUUAACAGAAAACUACUGCAAACCACUACAAGACCAAAUUGGAUCUCUCAUUGCAUUGGCAAACUGAAGAACGAAAACUCUGGAGAAUGAACUACUUUCUGUAAGCGGUAUGUUUCUCAUAUCAAAGAUUUGUAGUUACAUUACCAUUUCGUUUUGGACUGUUGUGUGAACCUUCUUUUUCAUAUGAGGCAUUUCAUCUCCACAAGUUGUGAUGUUAAAAGUGCAUAAUAAACUUAUUAAAAAAGGUUCUAUCCAUCAGUUCAUAUGUCUGGGAUGAACUCAGAAGUCAGAAGAGAUCCAACUUUAUUCUAUAUUCAAUCUUCUUACUAUUCUUUUAUUGAUUCUGUUUUUCAUGUUUUAAUGAUACUUGAGUAGUUUUUAUCAUAAAAAUGAUAUCAUUAUUGAAUUUUUAAGGUUCAUCUUAUGUCUAAUUAGGUUUAGUUUGGAGAAACUGAAUUAGGAGUUAUUGAAGAUUUUGAUUAGGUUUGCAAUGGUAGGUUAGUUUGUAGUCAAGGUUGAUUUCACUAAUGUAAAGCAAAAUUUAUUGAAAUUAUUAAGCAUGAAAUUACUUUUGGAAAGGGAAACAAAUGAGUGAAAUUAAAUUCACAGCUAAACUAAUUCAAAUACCACAGAUUCUGCAUCUAAUAUUUUAAAGUUCAUAUAUAUUUUUUAACUGACAUUACUAUAAGUUUUAGGGUAUUUAUUAAUAAAUCUCUUUAAAAUCUUAGGACAUUUUGACUGACUUUUUCUGUCAAUAAUACUAAUAAUUAGGUUUUUUGAAGAAUUAUUAUGGAUUGCAAAGAACUUGAGAAAAAAAAAACUCAAAAGGACUAUGUGAGAUGAAUGAAUUAUGCUAUAUUUUGUAAAUAGUGUCUAUAUUUUUCUAUUUUUAUAAUGUUUCUAAAGGAUUAAGGCUAAAGAAACUUUUGGAAUUCAAAAUAUAUUUGGGAUAGUUGCAAUUCACCAAUUAGAUUCCAAAUAAUGAAAUAUAUUUUAAUAUUUUAAAAAAUUUAUAAAUAUAGUAAAAUUUAUCAAAUUCUAUCAACGAAGUGUACACCAACUUAAGCAAAGUGUACACCAAAUUAAGCAGUGUGAUUUCUGUUUUAUAAUUAAUUAAGCAGUCUUGUACUGUUUUAUAAAAUUAAGCAGUCUUGUACUGUUUUAUAAAAUUAAGCAGUCUUGUAGGUAAUUUUCAAACUACGUGGUUUUAUUUAAGUUUAGAAACUAAACUCCAGCUUUAAACAGCUUUCUUUAAACUAUUGGUCCUAAUUUUGUGGUUUAAUCUAAUUUUAAAUUAAAAUUAUUACAAAUAUAUAUUUGGUGAAAGUACAUGCAAAAAUAUAACCAAUUUUAAAAUCUAUCAUUACAAAGAGAAGUCUAUGAUAUCUAUAUAAAAUUUAAAAUUGGCUAUAUUUUGGUUCAAUUUGUUGACAAUGUCUUGAUUUUUAAUUGUAAUUUAUAUUUAUAAAUAAAUUAAUAAUAGUUUAUUUUUUACUAAAUCUUAGUAAAUAAGUAAGACUAGUUUUAGGGUGUGUUUGGUUGAGAUUCUAAAGUGUUUAAUUUUGUAAAAAAAAAAUUAUUUUUUAGAAAACGGUAGUGUUUGACAAAUUAAAAUAAUGUAUUUUUAAAAAAUUCAUUUAUAAAAUAAUCUAUUUUGGAGAAAUCUUUAAAAAUUAAAUUCAUAUCUAAACCUUUAUAAAAAAGUCUAACCAAACAUUACGUGUUUCUAAACUCAUUUCCAAAAAAGUGUUUCGGAAGAAAAUGUAUUAUUGAAAAACAUUUUUUUUAAUUACCAUUUUUUUACUUGAUAUAUCAAAUUAAACCCAAUCAUUCUUCUUUUUAUUUGUUCUAAAUGUUUUCCCAAAAAAAAAAAUCUAAACAGAAACAAAAACUAAACUAAAUAUUAUAUACCAAAAUAUUUUAGAAAUACUUCCAACUUUCAUUCACUUUAACACGGUAGAAAUAAGAAAGUAUGUUUGGAUUAUACACUAACAUAGAAAAUAAAUCAAGGUAGAUCUAUCAUUUUUUCAUAUAAAAACAUGUAAUAAAAUAAAAUAAAUAGAUCUAAGUUAAACUUAGUUAAUUAGGACGAAAAGGAAAAUGAGAAAAAUCAAGGGACGAUCAUCCACAGUGUCUUGAAAAAAAUUGGGGGUGGCAGAGGUGGGGUGGAGGGCGACAACCAUCCACACUUUGUCAAGAAAAAUGAGGGGCAUCGACUGUUCGUUUGCGAGCAAGAAAAAGUUAGGGUUGAAUAGUUCGCGUGGGGAAGUGAGGAAAAUGGUGACGGGGAAUGGAAGAGGUGGGCGACUGUGUGGGAGUGAGAAGGAUGAAGAACAUGGUGAGGUGGAAGGGAAGGGGUGGGCAACUGUGUGGGAGGAAGAAAAGAGAGCAAUAAAACAUGAAGAAGGGGGAGGGAAAGGGCAGCAACGUGGAGAAAGAAGAAGAAGAAGAUUUGGGGAAACAUCGUGAACUAGGGCAUUUUUUGUUUUAAACGAACUGCCAAUGGUUAUUUUAAAUCCAUCGGCAUUUAUUCACUUAAGCCGACGGUAAUAAUGCACUGUCGGCAUAUGUCUACAUAUGCGACAUAACAAAAAUAUGUCGUCGGCAAAACCUAUCUAUGUCAACGCUAUAAAUUGGAUUGUCGGUGAUUCAACUUAUUGCCGACGAUAAAAUAAUCUGUUGGCGUAUACCACUUCUACCAAUGAAAUUUAGGGGCGUUGGCAUGCGUUUCGUCGGCAAAGGCAAAAUUUCUUGUAGUGUAGCUCAAGUUCACAUUAAUUUGCAAUGACUUAAAAUCAACUAUAUGUGUUGCAUCUGUUACAUACUUUCUCAGCAUAAAGACAUGGAAUACAUCAUGAGUAGUAGAAAAUGACAGAGAAAAUGUCAAAGGGUAAACUACUGGACCAAUCUGCUCAAGAAUCUCAAAUGGCCCUAUAAAACAUGAACUUACCUUUUCCUUCUUCUCAAAUCUCACAACACCUUUCGUAAGUGCUACUUUCAGAAAAACCAUGUCUCCUAUAUCAAACUCGAGAUCCCAAAUAGUAAUGCAAUCCUCAAUUGGGUAUCUAGUAGAAAAAUCCUUACUUUAGGUUAUGCUAAGUUUCUUGCUACAAAUGAAACCACAAUAUCACCUAUUUUUGUAAAAAGAAAUCUCAUGGAUCAUGGUGAGAGUGGCCAAAGCUGAGAGGUGAGAGCUCUCAAAAUUGAUCAUGAACUCAGUUUCUUUUACCUUAAAAGACUCUAAAAUGAAAAUAAAUUAUAUGUAAGCCUCGUCCAACAUAUUAUAUACUAGCAUUCCUGCAGUACUAUCCAUUUUGUGUGCUUCUUCCUUGAGUGCCCAUGUGACAGGCCCUUUAGGGGUAUUUGCCUCUUUUCAUUCUCGUUGAAGCCUCAGUCGCUCCAUUGUACCCAUAUGAUAUAAUAGCUCCAACUUAACCUUGACCCAUCCACAAUUCUCAAUAAUUAUACACAUUUUAAUUGAUUAAUAAUUCUAGACGAAUGAGAUUAUAGGCACUGAGAUAGCUAAUUAAGGGGCUUAUUGCCUUUUGGACCACAACAAUAUGAAUAGAAUAAAGGAAAAUAUUUAAAAAUAGUAGAUUUUACAAAAUAUUUACAAUCUAUAAUAAAUUCUAUUGUGAUAGAAGACAAAAUUUUGCUAUAGUUUAUAAAUAUUUUAAUUUAUUUUGCUAAUUUUAAAAAUGCCCCACAAUAAAAUAUCAAACUGAUUAUAUGUUAAUCGAAAACAAUGACACUUAAUAUUGAGACUCAAACUAGCAAAGUGAUUAUAUGUUAACUAGGGGGUGUUUGGAGAGGGAAAGGAAAGGAAAGGAAGGGAAAAGAUUAUGCAGUCAUUUCUAUGUUUAGGGCAAGGAUUAAGUGGGAAAAAGAAAUAAGUUUAUUCUUUCCAAAAUCCUUCUUUUUCUUUCUCUCGUCAAUCCUUCUUUUUCUUCAAUAAAUAUAAUCGCAUCAAACUUUUCUCUUUUUUCGUAACAAUUAUAUAUAUCGACAUAUACAUAUAAUUAUCAAAUUUCUAACAAAGUUUCACUCUUUAAUUUAAUUAAAUAAACACCCAAAAAUAUUUAAUUAAAUUCAAAUUCAAGAACACUAAAAUUUGAAAUCUAAUGAUUAAUUAAGUAUUCAAACCUACAAAUAUUUAAUUAAUUUUAAUUUUACAAAACCAUAAAUAUUCCAUUCAAUCAUUUAUCCAUUUUUACUUUGGUUUCUAUUGCUUUAUUAUUAUUAUUAUUAUAUUAUUAUUAUUAUUAUUAUUAUUAUUAUUAUUAUUAUUAUUUGCAUUAUUCUGAUGUACGACAUAAUUGACAUCACCAUUUAAUUGCAUUCCAAAAAAAAAAAAAAUGUAUUUCAUUUUGUUUCAAUGCUAUUAUGUUCCUUCUCGUUCGUUUAAAUCGGUUGUUAGCGAUAUGCAAUUUUUCAAUAUUGCACUUACAAUAUCAAUUUUAAAAAAUAGAUAUAAUUUCUUUCAUACGUAACACAUCAAUUAAUUUAUUGGCACAGACAGUUUACGUAUAAAACGUUUAAAAUUGACAUCAUAUUUAUGAAAACUAAUGGAACAUGUUUUCCAAUAAAAAAAUCUAAAUUUUGAUAAAUUAAAAUACGAAUAUUUGUGUAUUGGAUUUACUAUAAAUUUUUUAUAAAAAAAAAUUCAAGAGUACGAAUUAAAAAAAGAAACUUUUUUUUUUGUCAUAGUUCUUCCCCAUCCUUCCCAAUUUAUUUUUCAAAACCUUUCAAAAUGCAACCAAAGAAAAAACAUAUUUUAUAAUGUAUUGGAUUUAUAGAUCAAAUUAAAUUAAAAAUUAAAGACAAAUGAAAAAAAAUAAUAAUACAAUUUUUUUGUGAAUUGAAUUUACGAUACAAAUUUUAAAAGCAUAUUUUACACAAAGCAAAAAAAUUAAUACAAUUUGUUUUGUGUAUUGGAUUUAAUGUAAAAAAUUAAGAAAAAAAACUACUGUACAGAUGAACAAAAAAAAUCACUUUUAUAAUUGGGUUGGGUGUACGUUACAAAUAAAAAAAUAUUUAUACAAAAUCAACCAAAGAAAAGGUUAAUACAAAUUUUUGUUGUUGUAUUUGGGUUACAGUAGAACUUAACUAAAAAAUGAAUUUGAAUACAAUUUUCUAUUGUUAAGGCUUUAAACAAAAGUUUACACAAAUGCAAAAAAUAUUAGCACAUUUUUCAUUUUGUGUUGGGUUCACGAAAUAAACAAGAAUUUCAUACCCAUGAAAAAAAAUAAUUUAGUUUUUUUUUCUUAUAUUGGGUUGACGUAAUUUUUUUUUACACAAAUGAAAAAAAUGCAAUUUUUUUUAUCAUAAUCUUUUUUCCAAAUAAGGAUUAUAAAUAAUCUCUCAUAAUCUUCCCAUUUAUUCUUUUCUCCAAGGAUUAUAAAUAAUUCUCUAUAAUCCUCUCACUUAAUCAUUUUUCCAAAUAAGGAUUAUAAAUAAUCAUUUUCUUUUCAUAAUCCCCUUUUUCCUUAUUACUUCUCCCCAUUUCCCUUUCCUUCCCCCAAACACCACCUAAGGAUUAGAUAUGAAAACAAUCAAAACUUGAAAGAAUAUCAAAACCUUUGUAUAUUCAAACCAUAGUCAAGACACGUUUCUGAUAAGCGUUAUCUUCAAGACAAUUAUCUACAUGGGCUUGCAAACAGAUUACAUCGAUCAUCUCAAUAGGAUACAAUGACUAACCUCUGAUAGAAUUGUACCCACAAACUACUCGAUGUUGACUAAACUCUUGGAUACUAAGAAAGAAAGGAGUGAGAAAACUCUUCAAUUUGAAAUGAGAUGAAACAAAGGAAGAACAAAGUUGCUAUUCGUACCAUAACUCCAAAAUAGAAAAAAAAAAUUGAUACAAAUAAAUACAAAAAUCAAACAUAAAUACAUGUUAUUUGAAAGUUCUUAGACAAUGAAUUUAAUCUACCCAACUAAACCUAUAUACUCAAGAUUAGUUGAAUAAGUUUAAGAACUCAAAUUUUAUGAUAGAAAAACGUUCGGUAUAUAAUUGAAAAAUUGCUCGAAAUAUGUUAAAGUUUGCAAUUCCUCCAUCGGACCAUCACAAUAUCAAGUAAAAUUUACCUUAUUUACAAAUAAUAUCUUAGGACAAAUUCCCACUUACAAUUGCCUCCUAAUCUUAAGAUAAUUGUGAGGAAAAUAAAGAGAGUAAUUUUGGCCAUGCAAAACUACCUGACUCAAAGGACCAGAACUUGACAGAAUGACCUCAUCAGUAAUGUUGGCAAACUUUUUUCAAGAACAUUAGUUUCAUCAUUUAUUUAAUUAAUAAUUCAAGUCCAAGUUAGUAAAAAUGAAAACUAAUUCAGGAGUUUUAGUAAAUAGUAACAAUAAUAAAACUGUCACACAAAAACAAAGACAGUAAAAUAAGCCCGUUUUCCCUUCAAAACAAGGAUUAACAAGUAAAUUUACAUGAAUUACACUGUUGGCUUUUCAUUUAAGUAAAGCUGCCAGAGCAGAUUGUAAAGAACAUUAAACAAAGAAGCUGAACCCAGUGCUCUAGAAGAAUCAUCAGCCAAAAGAAUGGCAUGUUACAUAAUCCUUCAACUUGUUAGUGCCUUCCUCAGGCAAUGGUCAUUUGUGAGCAUUACAAAACUGUUGCUUAACUUGGUCCCUUGUUAUCUAUCUAUCUGUCUCCACCAUCAAGUUCCUCUUGAUCAUUCAGUAGAAUUGCUUCUUUACUAUUCAUUUCUCCGCUCCCCUCUACUCGGUUUUCACUCUUGUACCCAAAAAAUGAUUCUGAUGUUGACUCAUCUUCAUCAUCCUCUUCUUCAGUUUGCUUAUCUUUUGAUCGGAAGCCCAACUCACUUUGCAUCCAAGUGGGACAAUGGUGCACAACUCCUAGACCACCAACCUGAGCUUGCGAUUGGUCUGAGACCUGUCUUGAGCAAGCACAUUCAGGAACAGGAUGAGAUAGAAAAGAUAUUGAUUUAGAUAAUGUUGACGCUUCUAUCAGUCCAUCAACUAAUGACUUCCUUAGAUGUUGACGAAUCGAUCUCAGCCAUGUAUAGUUUGCUUGAUAUAGGUGUUCUCUGGUUUCUGCUAGGAGAGUUACCAUUUGUUUUCUGCACGGACAACAGCAUUGUAAGCAAAUGGUGUUUGAUCAUUAACCAUUGAUGAUACGUCAAUAUAGAAAAACCAAUACCUAUCAGGUCGGUAUGUUUUAAGUGAAGCUGACUGAUAAAGCCUGUGGCCCAUCACCAAGCUUGCAAAAUUUGGAUGCCCCUUGCCAUCACGAUCGAACCCAGGAAUAAAAACAUCAGCUUCAACCGAUAUAAAGUAGUCUAUAGCUUCCCAAAGCAAUUUAUGGGCAUUGGUCCUCAACUCCAUCACAGUACUUUCGGGCUCAAUGUCACUCUCAGCCACCCAACCCCACCAACCUUCAAUGUUGUGUGGAUAUUUUGGCCUUGCUGGUGGAGGUGGCAACGGGCGAGGACGUGGACCAUCAGUAUUCCACGCAUCAGGUUUCGACUCCUUCAAAAUGGAAGGAGGCGACCUUGGAUAGUUUCCACCGACAUUAAUCUCACGACCAUAAAGCCUAUUAAGUUCCCAUGGGGUGCUAAGGGAAGUCCUGUCAACAACAUUCUCAAAAGUAGCAUGGAGAGGAAUCAAGGUUCUUUGUCCACCGAAAACUUCCCCACCUGACACGUAUAUAAUGGUGUCCCAUGAAUAUCCACGGGCCCGGAGAAGAAUUCCUACCUGUAAAAGGUUCACAAGCAUCAUAUUCUCCACUUUCAUAAUUUCAUCUAACCAUUGGAUCCAAACUAUAUCACCUCCAUGUUAUUUCUCAGCUUACCUCUUCUGGCGUUAGAGGACAAGAACCAUUUAGCCGUUGAUCCUCAGAAUUCACUGAAAGCUUCCCCUUGACAAACCCCCGUCUACGCAUCCACAAUCUUUUGUGCUGAAUGAGCUCAUUAUGUACAUCCUGAAUGACAUUUCAAAUAAAAAACAUAUCAAACGUCAAGAAUAAAUCACCAAACAUAUGAAUUACAUAAUCAAGGUUAAAAUAUGUACCUGAAACAAUUCAGCACAACCGUAAUAAGCUAAGGCCUCUCUUGUCAUCCCAGGAUAGUAAGCUAUGAAUGGCCUACCCGGAGCUCUUAACCUAAAAAAAAAAACUGUAAGAAGAACAGUUUCAAGAACCUUUCAAAACAUUUCAAAUAUUUACCUAUGCAGAAUUUUGGUGGCAAGAUCCUGAACUUCCACUCUGAAUUGAAGAGCAUGGAAGGCAACUCUACACCUCAAUCUCUGAUACUCUUCAAGAUCGGGCGAAAGGAUAGCCUAGAUUAUCAUUUAAGUGUACAAUCUAUUAGAUUUUGAAGAUAUUCUUUUUCUCUUUUAAUGGAAUACCAACCUUCCAUGAAGGCAAAUGAAAGAAUAUUGUGAAAAAGGUCCUCGAGAGAGAUUCUUAAGAUAUUACAAUGUCCGAAAACAAUUUUGGAAAUAACUACUUUCAAAAUAGUGACACAAAUAUCCCCCCAGUUUGCUGCUAACCCAUACUUCUAACCCUCUUCCAAACACAAACUAAUGUUAUAACUUCAACAAGAUCAUAUAAAACAUAUUUUGACAAGCAUAACAUGAACUACACUUUGAAUUCAUUAACUACUUUCAAAAUAGUGGCACAAAUAUCCCCCAGUUUGCUGCUAACCCAUACUUCUAACCCUCUUCCAAACACAAACUAAUGUUAUAACUUCAACAAGAUCAUAUAAAACAUAUUUUGACAAGCAUAACAUGAACUACACUUUGAAUUCAUUAACUACUUUCAAAAUAGUGGCACAAAUAUCCCCCCAGUUUGCUGCUAACCCAUACUUCUAACCCUCUUCCAAACACAAACUAAUGUUAUAACUUCAACAAGAUCAUAUAAAACAUAUUUUGACAAGCAUAACAUGAACUACACUUUGAAUUCAUUAACUACUUUCAAAAUAGUGGCACAAAUAUCCCCCAGUUUGCUGCUAACCCAUACUUCUAACCCUCUUCCAAACACAAACUAAUGUUAUAACUUCAACAAGAUCAUAUAAAACAUAUUUUGACAAGCAUAACAUGAACUACACUUUGAAUCCAUUAACACCAGUCAUACAAGUUAGCAUUUCUGGUGAAGAUAGUUCCAAAUAUAAAGGAAUUCAAAAGUGUUCCUUACCUGCAAACAACCGCCAUCGGAGACAACAAGUUCAACCACCGAGUGCUUCUUUAAAACAGGAAGCACAUUGUGCCGAUAAAAAUAUGGAGAUGCUAAGUAAGGUGCUUUAAAACGUGGGAUCUCUUUUUUCCUUCGAGCACCUUUCAGAUUUCUUGGAAGUGUCUUAACAACUUUAAUGUCUCUAGUCAACGCUGCAAUGAACUGGUCUUCAUUAUAAAGGUAAGAAAAACUCUUGAACUGGGAGCUGCACGAAGAUAAUUAGACAACUCGGUUAAUAAACAUACUUUUUUGAACCAUGGAAAAAGGUAGUAUGUUAAUUUGAAACAGUUCAAACCUGAUUCCUUUGCUGCUUGUGGUUGAUUGAAUCUCAGGAACUACUAAGGUAGCAUUAAGGAGCCGAGCAAUGACAACAACAUCACAUAUCUAGAAGACCAAGCAUUUGCAAUUCCUUCAAUUUGCUACCAUAACCUGAUAUUAAUAUCAUAAAAGAGAUUAAACCAUUGCAUCCUUACCGAAUUCCUGAUCUCAUGGAAUCCGCCCUGUAUCCUGACAAAGAUGAAUCCAUUUGAUUGUAAUGAGGGAUCUGCCGAUGUGAUUAGUUCAGGAAUGCAUCAUUUUAAACACAUCAUAAAAAAUUCUUACCAGGUAAAAGAGAUGAAGAUUAGGUACUAGUUUAUUAUCAGCGCCAUGGAAUUCAACGGGCACAAAUAUAUAUAUCAAGAAGAUAUUAUCUAUAUAUAUCUGUCUGUCUGUCUAUCUAUCUAUCUAUCUAUAUACACACACAUAUUUAUUUAUUUAUUUAUUUAUUAUUAUUAUUAUUAUUAUUAUUAUUAUUAUUAUUAUUAUUAUUAUUAUUAUUAUUAUUAUUAUUAUUAUCAUCACUAUUAUUAAUAUUUUGCUUGGUGCAGGUGGAAAACCAAAAUUAAGAUUCAGAUAUGAGAGAAGCAAUAUGACUCUAGCUAUAAUACCUUUUUUCAGAAAACAAAAAAGAACGAACUGUAAGCUCUUAACUCCUCAAGACUGUGGUCCGAUAGAAAAUAAGAGGGAGGAAUCCAAUACUGACCUACUACGUGUAGCUUCAAGCAUUCAUUCGUGAAGAUUAUAUAUGUAUCAGGAAAAUGAACAAGAAAUACCUCACAUCAACUUUUACCUAAUGACUAAAAUAAUUAUUUACACAAACAAAACAUUUAAAAGUUCAAAGACCAAAAUGAAAUAAGCAUGAAAGUUCAAGAUGCAGAGUAGGAAUCAAACCAAAUUCAAGCUCUCUAUAAGAGGAAAAUCUGCUACACCAUUAAGUUGCAACAAAUAAAUGAAGCUGCAGAAGAGGCAAUACCAGGAUAGUGUUGUCUGGGAUUUGCAUCAGGAUGCAAAGUCUCCAGCCGCCGAACUGGGCCCCAAAGCCGUCUAAACAAAGGACUCUGAACAAUAAAUUAGGAGAAAAAACACAAACAGCAGCAAAUGUAAGAUUUUGGAAACACAGAAGCAUGAAAAUUUUAGCAAAAAUCUAACUAAACAACAAGAUACCCAUUUCGAAGGAAGACAAAAAGCCUCGUGUUACUACAUAAAUCACCAAAACAGAGGAACCCUAGAAGUGAGAUUUGAGGUUAUUUUAAAUUCAUAGAAGAAACCCAUAUCCCCAAAAACAAAAAAAAAAAAAAAAAAAACAAGUUAAGAUCUCUGGAAAAAAAAACAUGAGAGGGAGAGAGAUGAGAUCUUACAGUUGGGGAAAAGUCUGCAUGUUCAAAAACAGGUCUCCAAGAGAAGAUUGUAAUAGAGGAUUGGAACUCAGAAAUGCUGUCCUGAGUAAAUCUAGCAAGAAAGAAAUGGGUGAAGAGGGAAAAAGCAGAAAGAACAAUACCCACCAAACCAACCCAUUUCAUCCUUGAUUUGAACACCAUUUCUCCCUUCCCUUUCAUUGCCCCCUCCCCUUUAGAUUUCUCAAACUACAGGGCGAAGCUUAAGGAGGGAGAGGAAGAAGAGGAAGAAGAAGAAGAAGGUGAAGCAGUGGAAGAGUGAGUAUAGAUUAAAAAAUUGUUGAGUGAAUCAAGUAAACGAAGACAGAGGGGGAGAAGGCAGAAGUGGAUGUGGGAGACCAAAAUGGCACGUGCGAGACAGAUCAAGCAAGUUUGUUAUUUUUAUUUUUAUUUUUAUUUGGGUAAUUUAAAUAUGAUUUAUGUGUGAUAUUACCAAUUGAUUGUGGAGAAGAGGAUGUAAUAAAGGAUGGUCCUUUGAAGAACAUAAGAAAAUGUUGCCUUUUUGCCUUUAAACUUCAAAGUAGGGUGAUCACAUGAUACCUAACCCCUUUUUCUUUCUUUUUUCUUUUUUCUCUCAUGUGACAUGGAUACACAACUUUUUGCUCAUGCCUUUAAAUAGCUUCCUACAUUUUUCUUUCUUUGUCACUUUACAUUCAAACCUUUAGAUUCUUGAAUUGAUCAUACUACCUAAUACUGUUGAUUUAUGGUUGAAUUCUUUUGUCAUAAAUAUCAUCACUCUUCAUUUAUUUAUUAGUAUGUAGUUAUCAAAUAUCAAAUACAUAACAUUAUAAUAUUGUAAAACUAGGUAGAUGGUUUAUUCUUCCUAACUUUUCAAGUUUUGAACUUUUAACAUAUUGUUUCUUUUAAUUAGUCCUUUGAAUUUUAUUGUUUUGUCUCUACUUUUAUGUCUUAGGUGUUAAGUUCAACAUUUAGUCCACUGAAUAUCAAAGUUAAUUAAGACAUGUAGGUUUCUCUAGUAUAGAUACUAAUCAGAGAAUUACUUAUAGAGUAAUUAAGAGCAUGUUAUAAUUGCUUUUUUUUUUUAAGAAAAAGAAUUGUCAAAAUAGUAAAUUUGACAAAAUACUUAGAACAUAUAGUAACAAUUUUCAUAUUUUAUCAAUAAUAGACAUUAGUGAAUACUGAUAUGCUUCUAUAAGUGACAUUAAUAGAUAGUGAUAAAAAUAUAUCAGAUAUUUUUAUUGAUAAAAUCUAAAAUUUUGCCAUAGUUUAUAAAAUAUUUUAAUUUAUUUUGCUAUUUUUUAACAAAAAUAUAAAUAUAUUAGAAACAUUUAAAAGUCAAUAUGAAUAACACUAAUUAAUGAUUAGGAAAAGUAUUUGUUUUUAUUAUAUUGUUUUUCAAGAAUCUAUUAGAAAUAAAAGUUCAAUAUUUUAGGUAAUUGUGAGAAAAAAAACCAAAUUCUAAUAUUUAUAAAUUAGAAUAACAAUUCAAAAUAUUGAUCUUUUAGGUAUGUUGCAGCCUACUUAUGUAUGCCACUCCAACUAUCACUUUCGGCCACUUUAUCGACAAGCUUUUGCAACUAAUUUUGAUGACAGUUGCCAACCAACUUCUAGCCGUCGCCAGUUAAACUUGAAUUUUUUUUUAAUAAAGACACUCUUAAGGGAGUUAUCAAAUACAUUCAUGUUUUUAUUUUAAAAACUAUUUAUCAAAAUGGUUUAAAUAAAAAUAAAUUUUUUAAAAACAUUUUCUUACCGGUUAUUCUAGAUACACUCUAAUAUUUUUAGAGAAAUUGUAGUGGUAAGAAUUUUAGAAAUAAUAAUUAAGUAUAUGGUAAUAUUUUUAAAAAAUUAUAAAUAUAACAAAGUUUAUCAGUCACUAAUAGAUUACAUUCAGUGAUAGACUUCUAUCACUUCUAUCGCUAAUAGAAUCUUCUAUCAGUGAUAGACUUUGACAAAUUUUGCUAUAUUUACUAAUAUUUUGAAUCUAAUGGUUAUAUUUACAACUAGUCCAUUUUUUUUUAAAAAAAAAUACACUUUUUCAUUUAUUUUUUCAAACUUAUUAAUAUUAUUAGAUUAACUUUUUAAAAUUAUAUCUCUUCCCUCGUUCGUUUGAAAUUAACGUUUUUUUUUCAUUUUAGGAGAUAGUAGUGGUAUAUAUACAUAUGGAGAGAGAUGAUAAUCUUUUUGUAAAAUAAUAGCUCAUUAGAUUACAUUUAUGUAAUUAAGUUCAUUUGGUUAUGUUAUAUGCGUACAAAUCUCUAAUUUAGUUUAAUAACAUCUUUAUUUUUUUGUUGGUCAAUUUAGCUUAAACACUUAAAAUUAUCUUUUAAACUUGAAAAUUACAACAUUGAUAAAAAUUAGAGACCAUACUUGAAUUUUCUAUAAUUGAAUUUAAAAUUAAAAUAUUCGUUUUACUUCAAUUUGAAGUUAACACGUAUUAAAGUUUAAAAAAACUAUAAAUUUUUUAAUUAGUUAGAGUAAUAUAAGUCUAUUGAAAAUUUUAUUCCAAAACCGAGUAAAAAUCAAAUAUCCAAAUAUUAAAUAAAUUCUCUAGAGAAGUAUAGAGUAAUCACAAGCUAUACGAAUUUAUUUUAGAAUCAAGACAUCAAGACAUAGGUAUCACGCACCCAAUAUCUGUUCUACAAAACUCACCAAAUGUCAUUAUUUAUAAGCAAUUUGACAAACAUGAGAUGAAUUACAUGCUCACUAAUGAUUGGUAUCUUCAAGACAUAUGACAAUGUAGAUGAAAGAGAAAAAAGUGACACACGAUAAUAAACAUUGAGCAUAAUAUGACAUCUACUCUAAUAAUAUUUAAUUAUAAUAAUACCACGUUUUUUUUUAAAAAAAAUUUCAAUUGUUUUCAAACUUUUUUUAUAUACUAGCCUAUUUAUCUCAUGCACAUACUCGUUUUAAUUGGUUUUUCAUUAAAACUUAUAAAUGUUUGUCAACAAUCAAUCAUUCAUAAUGUUUAGAUUAGAACUUCCAAGAAAUAUUAUUUAUCGUGAAAAAUGUAUGGAGGUGUCUUUGUAUAGUCUUUGAUUGUAUAAGUUCUACUGUUAAUAGUUGUGAGCUGAGUUGUUAAGUAUGAAAGUAAUAUGUUUAUAGAAUUAGGACGUCUACCUUUAACGUGCAAAAUUGAGUUAUUAAGUCUAUUUUAUAUAUAGUUACCUGAAAGAGGCUUACGUACGAUAUAGUUUUGAAUUCAAAAUUAAGAAAUAAAAAUUGUAUUAUAAGUGCACAACUUCCAAAUAUCUUAUUUGGGGAUUAUUAGAUUUGAUUUAAAAGCAAAGGAUAAAUAUUUUCACUUUGUCCAAUUGCCCCUUUUGGUACUCUUGGAUAUUUAGGCAUAAUGCUUGAUUGUUUUCUUCUUGUUAUUAGUCUAAUCCACCAAAAAGCUAAUAAGAGAAAAGAAACUUGUUCCAUCAUAUAUAUCCACUCAAAAAGGAAAGUGACAACCAUGUAAAGAAUGUGUACUCAAUUCACAUAGUGUAAAGGGGAAAUGAUCAUAUUGUUGCUUUAAUAGCCAAUAUCUUCCUAAGAUAUUAUAUGUAUUUAUGAUAAUUUUGGUUGAAUGUUUGUCUUUUUAAAUAUGUUCAUUCAAUUGAGAAUGAGAUAGGCCAAACUUUAUAAACAAUUAGAUUUUGGACAAUUUCCAUAUAUAUUAUACACAUUUAGAUACAUCAUUGUUUGUUUUCAUUUUAGAAGAUUUUCUAGAUGUUAGGUGAUUAUUAUUGUUAGUUAUUGGAGUUGUAUGUAGAGUAGAUACAAUUCAAUUGGUUGUAACGUUAAUAAUCUUUUUAUGAAGCCUCCAAAUGCUGGAAAGCUCUUCUACAUUGUAAAUUUCUUUAAUGAGUUUUGUGGGGUUGAGUUUGGUUGAUUCAUGAAUGUAAGACCCCAAAUCACCUCUUAAGCAACGUGUUAAGACUGGAUGCGGUAAGAGUUGUCAGAUUGGAAGUGUUUCUAUUGAUUUGACAUGUUAUGUGUUUUGAACAAGCGUUGAAUAAGUUCCUAUGCGUUCUGGCAGUUGGCUAGAGAUUUCUUAGCAUAGUACAUGAUGCCAUCCUUGUGUCUGAAGGGAGGUGCUCAGUAAGUUGGUGUUCAGACCCAGCCUCCCAUUGAUGAUCAAAAUUAGGAUGGUGACAGCCAAUGACAGUACAAAAUUUGUUGAAGCUCACUGUUGGACAAAGCUAAUCAUUUUGACAUGAAAAUCCUCACAAGAGAAGUGUAUAAUUAGGACAGUUUCGAGCAAAUUUUUAGAGCUUAAUAUGAACUUUGAACUAAGUAAGAAGCUAGAGGAACUGCCAAGGGUUAAGGAGGUUUCCUCAUAUGAGUCUCGCAUUUAAGGUCGAUGAGGAGUUUGGCCAAGCGCUUAGGCUAGAAGGAAACCUUAUCUUGACUCUUAGUGCUUUUAAAAUGUUUUGAAAACCAAAAUGAUUUUCAACUUAUAUUUGAAACUCUUGAGUAUUGAUGUUUAUUUAAUAUUGUCAUUCGAUUUAAAAAUGAAUCAUGAUUUAUUCUUGUGAAAUGUUUUGGUACCCUAUGCAAUGAACCUUACAGUUACUUUGUGAUUUGAUGUAUGAUGUCUUAUACUUGCUUUGUGAUUUGAUAUAAAAUGUCUUAUACUUGCUUUGUGAUCUAGUAUAAGAUGCUCUUUGCUUACUUUGUGAUCUAACAUUGGAAUACGUGUUAUGCGUAUAUGAAAUUGAUGAUGUUCGCUAAAUGCGUUGAGAUUAGUCAAUGAUGAGAAUGGAUGAAUGACAUCUCAACCGAGGUGAUGGGUACAUUUGUGAUACAUUGUGAUGUAUGCCUUAUGGUUUAUGAAAUGAUUUAUUCGAGGAAAAGAUGAAUUUCCAAAGAAUAUCUUUGCGAACUAUUUGUUGUGGAUUUUAAAUGUUUAAAAUUGUUAGAUGCAGCGAAAUAUUUUCGGAUUUGAAUCGCAUAUUCUUGUCAAUCGUGUUGUGCUUGCAAGCUGAAUUUUAAGUUUAUGAUUUAUGCGUUGUAUUUAUGAAAACCUAUUUUAAUGAAAUGUGUUGAAGAAAUCCCACUCAGACAUUUUGUCUAAUCUUUCAAAUGUUUUGUUUUCUCUCUCCUUUCCAGGUAGCGAAGGACAUCCAACGUUUGAUUUGUCGUCUUAAUCGCCUACCAUAUCAUAGUUGCAUCACAUUUUCUUGUUAGUGACACCCACCGCACCGCACGUGUCCUUAACCUCGCUAUGCAGCAUUCUACACAGUUUGAGUAGCUCUAACGCCUUAAAUUGAAACACUAGAACGCUCAACUUAAUUAAGUCAUUCAAUCUUGGCUUUAUUGCCUAGUUCAAACUUAACUCCUUUGGUUACUAAACGAUAAGCAAUAAUACAACUUAGUAGAAAUCAACAAACAACAUCUCUUUGAUUAACUUAAUAAUAUGCGUUCCAAAAUACAAUAUAAUACAUGUUUUCUUUUACAAUAAGACUUAAGAUAAACUUUAGGCAUUCAACUCCUAGCUCAACUUUUCAAGCUUAAACUUAGAUCGCCCCAUUGCAUAGCAAUUCACCAAACUUUUCAUAACUUGGCCUUAACACCUUGUCACAUGAGGAAGGUAAAUACUUAGUGAGUGAUAUUUUGGAAAUUCUUUUGGAGAAACACAAUACAUUCAAUAAACACAUUUCAUAAGACAGACCAUUACGCCUCAAUUGAAAACAUAAACCACACACUUGUCUUUCAUAUUCCUUCCUUCUAAGAACAUGAAUUAUUCUCACGCAUAAACUAGUGUGAUGAUUACAUCAUCAACAACAUCUUCUAAGAAUCUUUCGGCUCAUUUCUUGUUGCUCAAGCUGCUAACACAACUGCACUGAUCAACUGCUUACAACCAUGCAACCCUUUUCUACAUGGUGGUCUUGACUCAUUAUGUGCACAUAAAAGCUAGCUCAUAGAUAGAAAUAAGAAUAACAAUUUUCUCAUAUACAUAACAUACAAUCAUCACAUAAACUUAUAACUAAAAUCUCUUUCUUAUAAAACAUUCAAGCUUUCUCAAUAGGAUCAAUAAGGUUGCACAUGCUUAAAACAUUAGCAUAACAAUACAAAGGAAAAAAGAAAGCUCUAAAACUCUGUUAAGCUUUGAAAAAUUACCCACAACACUAAGUUCCCUUUUCUCAGAAUGCCUAACACCUCCUUGCCUAAUUCUUCUUCCUUUUACUAGAGUAACUUUAAGAAUGUUAGCUUAAUCGUUCCUUCUUCUGACUUUUUACCCUUAUUUAUACUAAUUCAAAAUUGGAUUAGUCAUCUUUAAGCUCUCGUUAACUCACCAACUUCUACUUAAAGUGCUACAAGUGUAGGCUUAUUAUCUUUCCAAAACAUGCUUAACUUAAUCCUUUACACACAUCCUACUAAUAAAUCUCAAUUAGAAAAUUUCCAGAAAAUUCCUAACUCUCUAUCGCUUGGCCUCUUCUCGUCUUGCAUCAAAAUGUCUUCCUUCUUUCUUGCAUUACCUAACUUCAACGUGAGCUACCAUUCAAAACGCCCAAUUCAAAAUACUCUUCUUAAAAUGCUAAUAAAUAAAGUCCUAAUUCAAAAUAACCCUUAUAUUUUAGUCACGGGUCUCACAGUUUCGCUAAAUUAAUUAAGUAUUUGGUAUGCGUUAAAUAAGUGAAUUGUGGUAGAAUUUCACAUACUAGGUAUUAAAUCACCAAUUCACCCAAAAGCUUAAGCUUGUGGUUGAAUUGAUGAUUUAAUAUGGUAUCAGAGCAGGUGAUCCAGAGAGGUCCUGUGUUCAAGCUCCUCUAAUGUCGUUUUCUCUCCAAUUAAAUUUCCACUUUGUUGGGUUUUUCAAAUAUUUUAAGCCCACAAGUGAGGGAGAGUGUUGGUGAUAUAUAAUUAAAUUUGCCUUCAACCACUAGCUUAAUUUAAUAAUAGGUAUUCAACAUAUUGUCGCAUGGUGAGACAGACAUUGAGUGUCUAGGCGAUCACACGUUCUCUUAGUCUUUGUGGGCUGGCCAGGGAGAGAGGGUGACAAUGAACCGGGCCAACUAAUUAGAUUUGAGACUUUGUUGGCCUUUGAGACAAAUUAACCCUUAGUUUUCCUCCACUGGAUUUUAACACAAAUGUUAAUGUAAAAUUGGACCAAAUUAAUAUUAUUCAAUCCAUCAUUCAUGGUAAAUACACAUGAAAUUAACAAGAUUUUUCACUUCAUGUCUUGAAUAUCAAUAUGCGAUAUAAGUCAUGUUUUAGUUACGACAUUAAUUUGAUAAAUGACAUAACGAUUUGCAAUUGGUUUCUUAUUUAAGAGACAUGCUAUUUAAUUGAUUUUAUCUUGAUUGCAUUUUGAAGUGAUUAAAUUAAAAGAUAAGUUGUUUUAAAAAAAAUACCUAAAAUGGAUCAAAUGAGUUUAUAAAAUAACGUGGUUUAGGAUUAACACUUAAAACUAACUUUUAAAAAAGUAUUUUUUAGUGCUUAGUGAUUAAUCUCCCUAAUUUGUAUGUAAGACUCUAGUCACCACCUUCGGCUUUCCUUGCUAGCUAACCUCCAACAACUGUCUCCGCAAAAUGUCACUGACCAACAUCCGACCACCGUCUUCAGCAAUCAUUGUGAAUGAUGUAUAUAUCAUGCAACAAAGCAGUUAGAACAAAUAUCAUCCUAAUUACAAUAAUUGAGAGGACUAAAUAUAAUUUCAAUAUGUAAAAGUAAAAACAGUGUUUAGGUGUUCAUACCUUUGUAGCUCUAUUCUUCACUUGUUUGUUAUUAUAGUGUAUCGUAAAUUUAUCUCUGUAACUUUAAUCUUCACUUAUUUGUUGUUGUAGUUUAUCGUAAAAUUUAUCAAAGACAACCAUCUAAAUCUUCUCUACUAUUCUUUGAACUUAGAACCAAGUUGUGGGACAAAAUUAGUGGGACAAAAUUAGUGAUCCAAAUUUUGAGUUUUUGAGAGAAAGAGGCUCUGAACACUGUGAUUUUCCAACAAAAUUCACUAAGGUUCAUCCAACUUUUACACAAUCAAAUUUGUUAAAUUAUAUAUAGCCAAAAGACAUGCAAAAUCUUACUUGCAAUUUAAUUUGACACUUAACAAUCAUUCAGUAAGUGAAUUUGGUGGAUGGAUUUGCUUGUGGAACAACACAUCAAGCACACAUAACUUAUUCAUCACACUUGGAAUCAUCCACUAAAUCAAGGUCAAAGCCAACCUUUGACUUUCAAAGCUAAAGAAUUAACCUUUUGAAUUUGGACUAAAAAUCAAAUUUAUUUUUUUAUUUUUGUAGUUUAUGUAAGAAUUUAAAAUUAUUUUAAAUAAUCAAUUUUAUAUUAGACAGUUAAUCAAACAAUUUAAUUAAAGAAAAUUAGUAAAUUUGACAAAAAAAAAAAAUUCUAACGUAUGAUUUUUUUUUCUUCAGAUUCUAUCAAUAAUAAGCAUUGAUAGCCACCGAUAUGCUUCAAUCAGUGACAUCGAUAAACAAUGAUAGAAAUCUAUGAGUGGCUAUAGUGCUAGCAUUCAAAAUUUUGCUAUAGUUUGUAAAUAUUUUAAUUUAUUUUACUAUUUUAAAAAAUGUCUCUUUAAUUAAUUAAAUUCGACUCAAGGUUGGUGAAUGAGAAUGAUCUAAUCAAAUCCAUAUUUAAAUUUUUGAUAUUUAAAUUCUAUUUCAAUAUCAUUUUUCUCUCAAUUUCUAAUAGUUAAUUAUAUUGAAUAUAUAGAACAUUAUUAAUGAUUUUACCUUUAGUUAUUAGACAAAGAAAAGAAAAGUGAGAAAUGAUAAUUAUAACAUAAUAAUAACAACAAUUAAAUAUUAUUACAAUUGUUAUUAUUAUUAUAAUUAUGUUUAUUAAAAACUUUUCGUUUUGCGUGCAGUCUCUCUUCCUCUUUCUCAUUCUCCUUCUCCUUCACUCUCCCUCUUCUCUACCUGCCCUAGCUGCGGCCUACAGUCCCUUCACCGUCGCCGUCCGAGCUCGCACGCCACCUACAUAGAUAGAGCCGUCUUCGCUCAGAUCUGUCCUCGCCGUCGAAGUCGAACGCCAACCGAAGAGUUCGGCCUCGUUCGCGUCGUCUCUCCGCUUCGCGCCAUCGCGUUUGUUGCUGCCGCUCCACUUCUGUCAAGCCGACGUCGUCUGCCGUCCGUUUUCGUUAAGAUCCAAGUUGACCCGAGUCAGUUUUUCCUCUCCCAGCCAUGCGUUGAGCCGACGCGGAUUUCUUCCCAGUCUCCGAGCCGCACAUCCCCGAUUUGAGUCAUCCCUCUCUAUCCCGAUCUACACGCUUCAAUUCCAUCCUUUCUAAGUUGCAGUUUCUGCUUUGCCCGGAACUGUGGUGGUUGUGGUAAGGGUGUAAUUUAUGAGUUUUGUAGUUGUUUUCAUUGCCCUUGUUUGUUAGGUUAAUUAUUGGGUUGUCUUGUGUUCCUUGAAGGCGUUGGAGGGGUCGAGUUGUUGGGUUUGAUAACAGAUUCUAGAUUUUAGUUAGAAUUCAAUUCUUCACUAUUUCGAUAAGUGGAAUUUACUUUUGGAGUGAAUUGAAUGGAUGAAAGUUUUGUGAAAGCAUUAGAAUUUCUACUUAAUUGUUUUAGGUUGUUUCGUUGGAGUUUAGUUGAUAAACAAGCUUAACUUAGUUAAGGAAAUGAAUUUUCUACUAAGUGAUCUCUAUAUCCAAAUGAUGAGUAUAGAUUGAAUUGAAAAUGCUUACAUUUAUACUAAAUAAUUUGAAGUUAACAAUUUUCACCUCUAAUAAGACUAGCAAUGAGACUAGUAAUGAGUCUCUUAUCGGGUAUAUUUAUGUUUAGCUUUUUCAAGAUAAUACGAGAGCUAGACCGACGAGCGAAGAGGGACAAGAAGGACACGUGAUCGUCAUAGAAGAAUUUUCUUUCAAAACUUGGUUUCGCUUAAUGUUUUUAUUGAUUUUCUAGUUUUGAUGACUAAGAUAAGUUUGACAUUUAACACUUUGAUAUUUACUGUUCAAAUAAAUUUUAGGUUAAAAUAAUGGUGGUUAUUAGGAUGAAAUCAGGUUAAGUUGGGUUAGGAGGCAACCUAUAUUUUCGGGUUAUUUGGGUUGGCAACCCGAAUAACUAGAAUUUAGUUUCUAACCCAACGCAUAGGUUGGGUUGUCGGUUGUAUAUAUAAAUAUGUUUUAAUUUUUUUUUUCAGUUUUCUAGUUUCUAAUGGUUAUAAAAAUGAAAUUGUCACAUUUAAAUUUCCCUCGUACAUAAUUCAAACUUUCAUAAAAUAAAUUCAAAAUUUA
rnacentral:lncRNA from 1 species